rnacentral:lncRNA from 1 species
CCGCCAGUAGUCAUUGUGUAGUUAAACGCACUAUUCAUGUAACCGCCCAUGCAGCCAUCAUCGUUUGUGUCGCAGUCGACAAGCUCUUGUUCAGACAAAGAAAUGAGUUUCCCUUUCUUUAUCUGUGCUACUCCUUCUAUAGCCGCAACAGCUGAAAACGCCCAACAAGAUCCUACGCAAAACAUUCACUCGUUAGUUCACAAUCCAAGCAACUAACUAUUUGGUGAUCCGAUCUGAUCAGGUCAUAUAUUUCCCUUUUGUGUUGGGUUUGAGCAUCCAUAAACGGAAUCUUACAGUUCCUUUUAAAAUUCUCGGUUCAAAUCAGUUUCGGUUUUAGAGAAUCUACUAAAAUGUUCAAAAUAUUUUUCUAUCAAAAUUUAAUAUAUUAAAUAUAUUUUCGUUUUGUAUACAGUAUAACUAUACAGGGACUUGUAAUUAAUUUUGAUUUAUUUGGAUCGGUUUAGUUACACUAGACUUCUUUGUUCGGGUUAUAUUCUGUAUAUAUUAAGAGAUUAAAUCGUUCGGGAUAAGGAACCCUGAUUGUUCGAUUAUCCCGGUUCAAAAUUUAGCUUGGUUUAGUUUAUACAUAUGCAAACGAAUAAAGCUUCGGAAUUAUAUUACCGCAUGAGCCUUGAUCCUUGAUAGGAGUCACAGCUCCUUUCUUCCUCCAAUCAACAGAAAUCGGCAAAGCAUCAGAAGAAACGUGUUGGUACCUAAACGACGUAGGUUUCGUUCGACUAGACAACACCGAGUUUCCUUUGUAACCAGUGUACAUAGAACGGAAUUCUUCGUUGGUUAGAUCAGCAAACUGGUUCACCGCGAGUUUAAACGUUAGUCCGUAUUGAACUUCAUUUAAGCGUUCAAUGCUUUCCACGUUGCGUUUGAACACAACGUAGCGGUUGUUUUUCUCGUUCGCAUCUGCGUAAACACGGCCGUGUUCGGUCAUCCACGCGGCAUGUCUCUUUUGCAUGGUGACUUCAUCGAGUGGACGAGAAAGAGUGGUCGAUAAACUGAAUGAUGAAACUAGAGAGACAAUGAGAAAGAUUUGGAUCUGUGUUAAAGCCAUUUGGUUUAGAGAAGUUGAAGGAUAUUGAUACUAAUUUGUUACUCCAAAAGGUUUUGGAAUUGGGGUUUUAUAGUGAAAAGGUUUAUGUUAUUGGUAAUGUACCCAUGAAGUGAUUAGGACAAAGUAUUUUAAGUUUACACGUAAUGACAUCUUUUACAUCCAUAUAUACAUAACCAGAUCGAUCAUGCAUGGCUUGUUAAGUUUAUUUAUGGUUGUUAAGUAUUUUUUCUACAUCAAAGAUCAAACUGAGAUAAACUCAUCCUCUUCACUUUCAGUUUGGCUGCAUUUUUCGUUACAGCUGCGGUUUAAGUUUGUAAACAAAUACAUUUAAUAACUAGAAAGUUGAACUUAUUAGACUUUAAUCUCUCUAGGCUUAUGAUAUUCGAACUUUGAAAUCGAAACUGGUUUUCGUUUUGGACAAAUAUAUUUAUUUACUUGAAACGGAAAGUUGAAAAUUAAGAAUGACAUGUGGAACAAAAAAACUGCAAAUAUAAUCUGAAAACAUAUUUGUUUGAAACUAACAAUUUUCAGCUACUCAAUGUAUGUAUGAAAAAACGUAAUUCAUUUGGUUUUCACAUGUUAAAUAUACUUCUAAUGCAUCAAAAUUAGUAAUCUCAUCAAAACAUGGAAUCUCCUUUUGUCUUUUAAUUAAUUAACUAGACUCUGACCUGUGCGCCAGUGCGGGUAUGAAUUUCCGGAUUUUGAUUAUUUAUUCAACUAAGUGAUGUAUUUGUAAUAUUUAAUGUAUUAUAUCCACUAAUUAAAUAAUUUUUUUGGCGUCUUAAACCAUUUAUUUAUGACGAAUAUUCGAUAUCAUAUAAACAAAUUGAACAUAUACACGUAAUUAGAGAAUUGUAUACGAUAUAUAAAAAUAAUGGUUAUGAAUGUAAAAUAUGAAGAAAUAUUAUAUUAUGACUUAGUAUGGCAUAAAAGAUUAUAAAUUAGUUAUACAUAUUUAAAGAAAAUACAAUGAUUUUUAAACUUAUAUGAAAAAUUAAACAUAUAAAAACGGCCGAUGAAUUGGUCAUAAAAUUGUAAAUAAUUGUAGAUAUUUUAUUAAUAAUAAAUUAUUUAUAGUCUUUGUUUUGAGUCAAGAUAAUUAUUAAAUGUCCAUAACACUAAUAUGUUAAAAGGUCUUAUAAGGAAAGCCCAUGUUGUAACCGUUUUUUUUUCGGGAAGUGUAACAAAAUUUUUUUUUCUUUAACUCUUUGUUUUGUGUAAAAUUUUUUUUGUCUUUGUUUUGUUUAAGGUCUAGAAAUUAAUGUCCAUAACAUUAAUACGUUAAAAAAAAAUUACUUGGUUGGUUUUGGUUAAAUGACAUUAAGUUUCGAAGUUGUACUUAAUUAACCAUUACAUAUUCACGUCUGGAAGUUGAUUUAAUGACAUUAGGUUUAAAUUUGAUUAAGAAAAAUUCAUUAAUUUAACUGGAAAAAAAGACAAGCAUUAAAAUAGGUAGUUUAAUUUAAUUCUCAGUGGCAUGGAAGUGUAAUUAAGUUAGAAAACUUAUGAGUAUUUUUUAAUGGGUACUUCUCUUUUAAUAAUAUAGAUUAAUUUAAUUUAAAUUCAAGAAUUAGAUUUCCUUUAUUCAUAAGAGAACCAUCCGUGCAAGUUAAAAGCUUAAAACAAAGGGAAAAAAGAUUCGACAAAUUAAUUUCGAAUCUAGUCACUCACAACAAAAGUGAACUUCAUUGCACUAAGUAUCUGUAGAUAAAUCUAAACCAUUUGCCAAAAAGUUUCCUGUUCAAUGAUGUUCCCAUGCACCAAUUUCAUCUAUUCGAAUUUCUUUGAACUUUUCCAUUUUGUCUAUAAAAUACAAUAUAAUUGGUAAUAAGUUUUAGUUAGGGACAAUAGAAGUAAAAUUAUAAAUCGGGCGCUAACAAGGAUGUUUACGGAAUAUCAUUUUUGGACAUAAAUCCAUAUUAUAAUUGGCCAAAGUGAGAACGAUGUCUAAACGACUAAAUAAAAAAAGAUACAUAUGUGGAACUAUCAUUAAUAAUAAAAAGAUACAUAUGUCCAUAAAUUAAAAAAAAAUGUUUUACUGAGUAAUAUAAUUAUUAUCAGACAAAAUUUAGCUAUCAUCAAAAAAAUUUCGUAAUUUUUACAUACAAGAAAUGAUUUAAAUUGUUGUUUCCAAAAUAGAAAUCAACUAAACUUAACUGUUUUGAUGUCAUGAAAUGUAUCAAACUUUUUCCUAACUUUCAACAGGAAAAUUUGAACUACAUGCCAGCAUAAAAAUUUUCUGUAAAUCAACUUAAUUUACUUGCUAAGGAGGAUUAGAAGUCAAAUUGUAACGGCAAUAAGAAUAGUGAUAAGUGAACAUCCCAAAAUUAAAGCUUUGGGCUGAACACCUUCCACUGAAUCAUUUUGGAGAUAUGUUAAGAGCACCUUCGAUAGGGUUGUACACAUACAUAUAUGUGUACGUAUAUUUUUAUACUAGUAUUUAAUUGUGGAGUUCUUAAUUUUAUGGGAAAUCCAAUCCAAAAUUUUCUAAAACAUUUGGGUUGGGUUUCUUAUAAAAUUAAAGGUCCAGAAUUAAAUAUUAAUAUUAAUAUAUAUACAAAUAUAUGUUAUAUGUUUUAGAAUUUCAAUGGGUAGAACCCCAUUGUAAAUGCUUAUCCAAUAGCAAGAUAUGUAUUUUAAAGCCCAUGAAAUUUAUGAAGCCUAAACCAAAUAAUACUAUAUAAAUUCUAUUAUGAUAAAGAUUAGAUGAUUUAGAUAUACUAGGUAAUUAUCCGCGCUACGCUGCGGAUCCGUGGUGUUUUUUGUUAUCAUAUUUUUAUAAAAUAAAUUUUUUAAAUAAAUAUUUUCAAUGAAAUAUCAAUAUAAUUAGCCAGCAUAGUUCAUCUACUAUCUAUUUUAUUGGACUGACAAAUGAGUUUGGGUACCUUUUCACAUUUUGCUUCUCAACUUUGGAUCCAGCCAUACUUAGACCUUCUUAUAACCAUUUUCCUUUCAUUAUUUAUUUAUAAUGUUGUCUCUCUACUUCUAAGACAAGACGAUUCAUCUUCCCUCAUACUUAGACCUUUUAUUUUAUUUUUGUUUGGUUUUCUAGAGGUUGUCGCCCUAGCCUCCACCUUUCUUCCACCAUUUUCCAAAUUGUUAUUUUAUUCUUUGUGGCAUUGAUUCUUAGCUAUUGUAAAUUCCAUUGCCAAACAUUGCUAACGUUAUUAAUUAUCUUUAUAUUCAAUUGUGUUUGCACAAUCAGGGACAUAGAGAUAUAUUUGUAAGAAAGAUGUAGUACUACUCUAGAUACUGUAAAAACUGAAUUAAAAUAGUCAUUCUUGUCAAACUAUAGUCAUCCAGAUGUGAUUCCUGUAACGAAGAAGACAAGUUAAAGUUCAAACUGUGGAAGAAGAGAUAGCAAGAAGCAUAACAACAAGUAAAAAAAGAAAUCUUGUUAUGAUCCAAUGAAGCAAAUAAAAUAUAGAUGAGAAGAACAUUGGCUAAUUGUUGGAUAGAAGGUAACAGAGGAUCCUUCCCUAUAUUAAAUGAGCAACAAAUGGGAUGAUCCCAUUCACGGCUAGCCACCCGGAUGAGGCUCACGUCCUCCUCCCCUCGCCAUUAGAGUUACAACUGUUUCAGUUUCUUAAAGUUAAAUCUUGCAAGUUGCAACAGUUAUGAAAAGCUGAAGUUUAAUGACAAAAACAAUCAGAUUGGUUAGUAUACUUGAACUUGAACCAAACACUCACGUUUUAUCACGUUUUACCUUGUUGAAUAACUCUUCCAGAGAACUAUCAUCUUCUUCUGAAUCUGGCCAGCAAAAGAUAGAAGAAGAAGGAUGAUGGUCCGGCAAAUAUAGAACAUUAUCCUAAAUUCAUGUAUGCGUGAGAAGUAGAAUCGUCCAAGAAUUAAACCUUGCGUGGUCUAUGAAACCGCAAAGUAUUGAAUAUAGUGUCUCAAUUUUGCCGACGUGUAAACUUAUGUAGAUAUGUAAAUAAAAUGUUUUUACUGGUUUUUAUUGACAUGUCAAUCUCUUAUGCUCUUAAAAAUCUGAUGUGUAUUUUUUGGAGAGAGCCUUGUGCUAUUAUUAUGUUGAUGUUAUAAAAUUUAAAUAAAUUUUAUUUCUAAUUGAGAUAGGUCUACUUCUUGUUACAUAUAAUUCUCAUGUAAGUUAUUAAAACACAACACAAAAAUAUAUUUAUAUUCUCCAAUUUUACAAAUCACUAAUUUGGACUGUCUGGGUCAUGUAGAAAUAGGCAUCUAGAUUUCAUGUGGCGUAGGGAUGUUCCAAAGAAGAAAAGAUAAGCCAGGAGAGACACCUUUUUAGAGUGCGAUCAUACCUAAACAUAUUUGGAAGAGAAUUGUAUCAGGAAGGGUGACAUCCCCCUAAAUAUUUGCUUUGCGCCUGAUACUUAGGUUCAUCUCUAUAGUGAAUGGUUAAAUUCAUUCCACUCUUUUUUUUAUCAUCAACCUAAAUAGAUUCUAUGAAAUCUUUGCAAACCAAACUGGUAACUCUGCAUCUAUAUGAACAACAACAGACAUUUGUUUCCUCGCAUUCUGCGCCAAACUGUCUGUCUUUGUAUUCACUCCACUCUUUAUAACCAACCAAAGUGUCAUGUAGGAUUAACUAAAAAAGACGAUAAAAUUAAAAAAAAAAUGAUAAACAGCUGAAAAAAUAACACUGAUAUUAACGCCGUCUGCAAAACUUCAAAUUCUAAAAGCCUAAAGUCUAAAACAAUAAACCCUAAAUCUUAAACCCUAAAGUGAAAACUCUAAACCAUAAACCCUAAUCCUAAAAUCUAAACCCUAAAGCCUAAACUCAAAACUCUAAACCAUAGACCUUAAAUCCUGAAAUCUAAACUCAAAACUCUAAACCAUAAACCCAAAACUCUAAACCAUAAACCCUAAAUCCUAUAAUCUAAACCCUAAAUCCUAAUCCCUAAACCCUAAACUCUAAAUCCUAAACCCAUCACUUGUUUAGGGUUCAGGUUUACGGUUUAGAGUUUUGGUUUUAAGAUUUAGAGUUUUGGGUUUAGGCUUUAGGAUUUAGAGUUUUGGGUUUAGGAUUUAGGAUUUAGAGUUUAUAUUUUAGGAUUUAGGGUCUAUGAUGUAGAGUUUUGGGUUUAGGUUUUAGGCUUUAGGGUUUAGAUUUCAGGAUUUAGGGGUUAUUGUUUAAAGUUUUGGGUUUAGGGUUUAAGAUUUUUGGUUUAGAUUUUAUAAGUUUUAUGGUUUAGAAUUUAGGGUUUUCUAGAUUUAGGGUUUUCUAGAUUUAGGGUUUAUGGUUUUAGACUUUGGGUUCUUAGAGUUUUGCAAACAACGUUAAUAUCGGUGUUAUUUUUUUUUAGCUAUUUAUCUUUUAUAAUUUUAUUGUCUUUUUCAAUUAAUCAUACAUGACACUUUGGUUUGUUAUAAAGAGUGGAAUGACAUUACAGCCAUAAAAAGAGUAUAAUAUCAACUUACCAAUGCACUUUAGUUGGUUAUAAACAUAAAUGAUACAAAAAGAGUAUAAUAUCAAGUAUGUGUAUGUUGUCAAAAAAAUAAAAAUAAAUCAAGUAUGUGUAUUUAAUUAGUUUUUAAUGGUUUUAGAGCCAAAUUCCUGAAUAUAAAUUUGGUGUUAUUCAUUUGGUUCGAAAAAUCAGGUUUAUUCAAGUUGAAUGAGCCAAAUGUUGUUUAAAAAUUAUCAAAUCAAAUACUAUAUAAUAUAGAUGAAUUUAUUGAAUCAAUAAUUAAUUUUUGUUAGAAUUUGAAUCGUUAUCUUUAAGAAUACGUUUUUCAUUGAAUCGUCAAAUUAAAAUCUCAUGUUGAAAAUUUUCUUUUCUCAUGGUACUGGAUUUAUAUGAGUAAUAUAAACAAAAUAAUUCAACAUCAACUGUUCAGUAAAAGAAUUCAAGGAUCGAUCCUAAAAUGAACGUUAUUUCCAAUAAAUUAAAUUAAACAAUCUUAGAAAUAUUUUGUAUGCUACUCUAUUGUUAACAAAGGAGAAAAAGAGAGAAAAAGGUGGUAAAAAAUAGAAACCUCUGCUAUAAUUAAGCUUUAAUAAACUUAGCAUUCUUAUAUUCAAAACCUAUUGAAACUAAUUUUAAAUUAACAAACAAACGACUUACUUAGUUCUAGUCUAAAAAUAACAAUCGGGUUUCUAAUAUAAAACAAACUCGGUGCUCCACGAGAAUAGUUGUCCUCUUCUCAAACAUAACUCAACUUACCGUUUGAAACUAAACUAUUAUAAAGAGAAAUCAAAAAGAAGAAAAGACCACCAAACAAAACACAAAACAAAGAAAAAAAUAUUUUAACAAAAAUGGCUGCCAAAGCAAUCGUCUUCUCUCUCUUUAUCGUCUCCACCGUGUGUUUGUCCUCUCUCGCCGGUUUUACUGCCGCAGAUGCUGAUGAUUUUGACAUUUUCCAGAUUCAGGGAUCAGUUUACUGUGACACUUGCCGUGUCCAGUUCGUUACCCGUCUCAGCCAAUUCCUCGAAGGUAAAUUAAACAAUUUAUCAUGCAUGAAUGUGUGAAUAUAUUUGAGCCUGUAAUAAAAAAAAUAGCACAUCAAACAUACGUUUCAUAAAAACAUUGCAUAACGAAACAGUUUGGGACGAGUAUGUGUUUGCGCACUCUAUCUUGCAUGUUAUAAUUAAGAAUGCAUGCAACGUCUUACAAUAAUAUAUCGGUUUCUGAAUCCGAAUGACUUGAUGCAGUUUGCAAAUAUUUUUGAGUACGUAGCCCGACCACAGUUUAAAACUAAAUCAAUCUCAUAUUAUGUUCAAACAUUUAAGUAGUAUUUAAUUUGGUUUAACAUUUUUUUCGUGUUUGUGAAGGGGCGAAAGUGAAGUUGGAGUGCAGAAGCAGAACAAACGGAACCCUAACGUUGACCAAAGAAGCCGUUACCGACAAAUCAGGAAGCUACAAGAUUGAAGUAACCGGUGACCACGAAGAAGAAGUUUGCGAGCUCGUGUUGGUCCAAUCACCGGACAGUGGUUGCAGUGAUGUCAGCAAAGAGGCUUAUUUACGUAACGCCGCUAAGAUCAGUUUAACGGCGAACGACGGAAUCGUCUCUCACGAGACACGUAUCGUUAACCCACUCGGUUUCAUGGUUAAGACCCCGUUAGCUGAUUGUCCCGCUGCUUUCAAGGAACUCGGUAUUGUCCCUGACGUCAUUUUCUAAGCGAAUAAACAAAAUAUAUGACGUGAGAGAUUUUUAUUUUGUAUUUGCUUCAUCUUCAAGGGGUUUUCACCAAGUUUAACGAUUAUUUAUUAUUAUGAAUUAAUAUCCUCCUGAUUUGUUGAUGUUAAUUUCUCGAUUUUUGUUUUGUUUAAUUUGAAUGGUACCUUGUUGUUCUAUUGAAAAAAAGAUGUGGCUAUUUUUGGGCAUUCAAUGCUGAAGAAACUAUCUAUUAUUAAAUUAUUAAGGGUCUCAUUGGAGUUGUGGCUGUCAAAGUGUCGAUACUUUGUGGGAUUAAACAGUUUCUAAAGUUCAUUUUUCACCAAUCAAGCUUUUUUGAAAAAUAUUGAUUCUAAAGUUCUCAAAGCCCUUUCUUAUUUUUCUUUUUUUUUACACUAGUUUUUCUACGACCACUUCUACGUGACUUUGAGAAUAUAAAAAAACAUUUUUAUCAUAAAAAUAACUUUUUUUUACCCCAUAAUAACUAAAACACCUUAAUGUAAGUUAUAUUAAUUUUAUUUUAAAGUUAGUUUGAUAAAUUAAUUAUUGUUAUUUUUUCUAGUUAUUUUGAGAUCCAUAUUAAUUUACUUUUGUUUUCAUAUAUGGUUUUUCUUUAUUAUUUAUAUAAUUUUAUAUUUGUAAUGGAAUAUUAAGAAUAAAAUAACAAUUUCUAUAACUUUUAUUAUUAUUUUAUUUUUUAAAAUAAUACUUACAGUUUUAACAGCCAAAAUCUCUACAGUCAAUAGUCUAAAGCGAAAGUCUUUACCAAUCGGACCCUAAAAUGGUACGGAACCAAAACAUCCGCCGCACAAAACUCACAAAGUCAAUCUAUUUAUAAAUGAUAAAUGAUUUUAUAUACGGUUUCACGAUGGAUAGAUCACGAUGGAGGUACGGAACCAAAACCUCCGCCGCACACAAAUCACAAAGUCAAUCUAUUUAUAAAUGAAACGAUUUUAUAUACGGUUUCACGAUGGAUAGAUCUAUCUCUUUCCACAAUAUACAGAAAACAGUUCUACAUGUAUUACACCUACAGUUACCAAUUUGUAGCUAUUGCUGUAUAAUACAUUAUGUCGAGAGAGAAAAAGAAGAGUCUCCAAGUUCUUGUCUGAUCAAAUCACUUUUUGUCUAACUCCUAUCCAGGUUCUAUUGUUCUAUUAUUAUUUUAUAGAUUAUGGUUCCUGAUUGUAGAUACAAAAAAGUCAAAAGAAAAAAGAAACUGAAAAAUUUAUAGAGUCUCAAAGAGAUAUUUUUCAUAAGUUUUUAAUUAAAAAACCAAAAGAUGUUACUUCCACUCAAAACAAUGAAUAUGAAAAUAUAAAAGAUAUGAAUAAAAAUGAUGAUAGUGUUGAUGUUUGUAUUCCUAGAGAUGAUAUGAUUGUGAUGAUGUUUGUGAGAAUGAUCUUAAAAAUGCUGAUUGUUUGAAUUAAGAUGAUGAUGAUUUAGAAAAAGUAAAUGAUUAUAAGUUUGACAUUUUUGAUCCAAGAAAUUGGAAUGUUCUUGAUUCUAAGAUGAUUGAUAUUUUAGUAGAAAACAGUCCUUAAAGAGAUAUGUCUAAAAAGAUAAAUUCAAUAGAUGCUUUUCUGAAUUUUAUUGAAUGGAGAAAAAUGCAAAAGAGAUUGGUUAGUCUACUGUAAGGAAAUUGAUAAAUUAUUUUGUUUUUGCUGUAAGAUAUUUAAAAAAUCUGUUGGAAAAUGUUAGUUCAUGAAGGUUUUAAAGAUUGGGCACAUCUUAGUUCUAGGCUUAAAGAGCAUGAAACAAGUGUUGCACAUGUUAAGAAUAUGACAAUUUGGUAUGAUAUGCAGUUAAGAUUUUUCUCAAACUAUUGAUAAAGUGGCUCAAACACUAAUUUUAAAAGAAAAAGAUCAUUGGAAAUUUUUUUUGUUUAGGAUUAUUUCUGUUGUAAAAUUUCUUGCAAAGCAUAAUCUUGCAUUUCGUGGUACUAAUGCUAAACUGUAUGAAAAUAACAAUGGAAUUUUUUUAGGACUUAUUGAAUGUUAGUUGAAUAUGAUCCAGUUAUCAAAGAGCAUGUGGAAAUAAUUAUAAAUGAUGAUAUUCAUUUUCAUUAUCUUGGUCAUAAUAUUCAAAAUGAAUUGAUAAUUUUGAUUGCUUCUGCAAUUAAAUCUGAAAUUUUAAGUAAAAUAAAACAAGCAAAAUAUUUUUCUUGAUACUUGAUUGUACUCCUGAUAGUGGCCACCAAGAACAAAUGUCAAUGAUAUUGAGGUAUGUAGAUUAUUCUUCUCAUCCUAUUAAAAUUCAAGAAUCUUUUCUAGGAUUUUUACAUGUGAAAGAUACAAGUGGUCAAAGUCUUUUUGAAGUCUUACAAAAUGAAUUAUCGUCUUUGGGAUUUAACAUACAUAAUGUAGAAGGGCAAAUUUAUGAUAAUGGUGCAAACAUGAAAGGAAAACAUCAAGGAGUACAAAACCAAUUUUUAGAUGUAAAUCCAAGAGUGUUUUAUACUCGUUGUAGUUCUCAUAGUCUUAAUUUAAUGUUAUGUGAUAUGGAUAAUACUUGUGGAAAAGCUAAAGAUUUUUUUGGAGUGAUACAAAAAAUAUACACAAUGUUUGCUAAAUCUACUAAGAGGUGGGAUAUUUUAAAAGAUAAUAUAAAAGCGUAAUGAUUCUAUGAUUAGAAGUGAAGCUAAAUCCUUAGCGACAAAUGAACUUGGUGAACUUGAGUUCUUGGUGAGCAUUGUUAUUUGGUAUGAAAUGUUAUAUGCUGUUAAGUUGGUUAGUAAAAGUUUACGGUCUAAAAAUAUGCUUAUUGAUGUUGCUAUUGAAAAAUUUAAGGGAUUAGUAGAGUUUUUCAAAAAGUAUAGAGAUACUGGUUUUUCAAAUGCUUUGGAAAGUGCUAGAAAAAUUGCUAUAGUUAAUAGGUGUUGGUCCAAUAUUUCCUCAAAAACGUGUUAUUCAAAGAAAAAAAAUUGAUUAGAUCCCAAAUAGUUUACCUUCAGUUGUUCCACAAUCUCAUUAUUUAGGAUUGAAUAUUUUUUAUGCAUAGUUGAUCAAGCAAUUACUUCACUUAGUAAGAGGUUUGAACAAUAGAGUAUGAAAAGACUUUUGGUUUUUAUUUAACCCUGAAAAAUGGGUUUUAGAUGAUAUGACUUUAAAUAAUUAUUGUAGUAGGUUUGCAAAUGUUUUUUAAAAAGGUGAGAAUUUUGACGUAAGUGGAGAUGAAUUGUUUAUAGAAUUAAAGUACUUAGAGAAGUUAUGACAAAAGAGAUAAUUUAUCCUAUUGAUAUUUUGAAUUAUUGAUAAUUUAUCCUAUUGCUAAUUCUUUUUCAAGUGCUAUUAUUGUUUAUAGAAUUUUACUAACUAUUCAUAUAACUGUUUCAUCUGCAAAGAGAAGUUUUUUAAAAUUAAAAUUGUUGAAGUCAUAUCUGCGGACAACAAUGAUACAAAAAAGAUUAAAUAAGCUAGUGAUGAUUUCAAUUGAAAAUGAUAUUUUGAAAAAGAUCAAGUUUUAUGAUUUGGUCGAUGAUUUUGCAAGAAAAAAGCUAGAAGAAUAUCGUUAUUUAGAUGAAAAAAAUUAGAUUGGUAUAUUUAUUUUAUAUUAUAACAAUAUUUUGUCAGAAAAACAUAUAAAUUAUUUUAGGCUGUAAGAAAGAACCUUGAUUUUUUUAACAUAUAAAUUAUUUUGCCUAUAUGAUAAUUACCUUUUUAUUUGAUGGCAUCGUUUUCUGGUUCUUGAUUUGCCAUUUCUUAUAACACGGGAAAGCUCCCAAGAAGUAUUUUUAAUCCUUAAUUUAUCGUGGACAACAUCAUAUUAUAUUAGUAUCAUUACUAGAACUAGGCCUGGGCAUUUUAACCUGUACCCGAAAAUUCGAACCGGAACCGAUCCAAAAAUACCCGAUCUGGAACUGAACCAAAAAUUUAAAAGUACUUUUUGGUACUAAAUUUCUUUUACCCGAAAGGAACCGAUUCGAAUAGAUUCGGAUCCGAGAAGAACCGACUCAAAUAGACCCGACUCGAUAAGAACCGAUUUGUACCCUAUUUAAAAACAUGUAUAUCCAAAACUAUGAUUUUUUGUGGUCUAUUUUAUAUAUAUUAUUUUAUAAUUUAGUUGAAAUAUCUUUUGUUAACAACAUAUGUUAUCAUUUUGUAACAUUUUUAAGUAAUAUGAAGCUUUAAAAUGUAAAAUUUAGAGUUUAAAAAUGUUAUAUUUUAAUUAUUAAUAGUUUCAUUUAAGUUAUUUUGUAAAAUUUUAGAUAUAUAUGAUAAAUAUCGACUAAAUUUGAUGGAAUUGGGUAUGUCAUGUCCUUUUAGAUCUUAAAUACCCAAACCUGGCGCGGAUCCGAUAUGGACCCGAAAAAUUACGGGUAUUUUAUGGGUAUCUUAAUUAUAGAUCCGAACUGACCCGGACCCGAAAAGAACCGACCCGAACUCAGACCAAAAAUUUCUAAGUACCUAUUGGAUUUAAAUGUUUUAGGACCCGAAAGAAACUGGCCCGAACCCGACCCGAAGAUCCGUAAAACUAUCUAUAACAAUUAUAUCAGUAAGUAUCAUUAGUAGACCUAUCUAUAACGAUUUAUCUAUUUUUACAAAAAUUUCAAUUAUUUGGAACUCAAAUUUUGAUCGGCUAGUAUUAUAUAAAACGUUUUUGGAAUCAUUAGAUCAAGGAAGUUCUUAUGAUAUGUUUUAAAAAAGCUAACAUAAAACUAUGGCGAAAUUAAAAUUAAAGAAUAGCAAUCCACCAUGUAAAAUUCGAAAGCUUUAAAUAAGCAUGUUGCACAUAAAAUUAAUUUAAAAAAUUAAGUAUAAUCUCAUGUGAAACAUAUAUGGACCUAUGGCUGGACAAAUAAACUGAAUCAAAAAAUCUAAACUGAAUUCGAAUUGAUAGAAAUGAAUCUGAACUUAUCCAAACCUGAUAUAAAUACCUAAUGGAUCUUGUUCUAUGGUAUUUUAGGUUAUGAAUUUUAUCUGAACUGAAUCCAAAAGAUAUUUGAAAAAUUCCAAAUCCUAAUUAAAAACACUUGUAGCAAGUCUAAUCUAAUUUCAUAAUAUGUAUCGGAAAUAGAUAUUAUUGAAUACCUAAAAUAAUUAUCUAUUACAUGAAUAAUUAGAUUAAAUAUUUAGUUUAAGAUAUAUUUUGGCAUUUAGUCAAUAUUGAUGUCUUUAUGUUUUGAAUAGGUUUUUUUCUAAAGUUUAAACAAUGUUGUUUUAUUUUAAAGUUUAAAUAAUAUUAUGCAUGAUUCUCUUUCAAACAAAGCUUUGGUUUGUCAUGAUAUGUCUGAUAUUGUCACGUAUAGUUCAAAGAUAAAUAUUGUAUGGUUGGGAGAAGAAUCCUCCAAAGUUAUUUUGAAAAACAACACAACAAUAUAGUUUGAAGAAGCCACAUACAUACCCAAAUUUAUUGAAAAAAAAUGGAAAUAUAUAUAGUUUAAUCAAGUUUAAAUUAAUAAAUUUGGAAUUGAUAACCCUAUUAAUAUUCGUAACCAAAACUUUUUCAGAUUCAACUGGAUCUUAGACAUGUAACUAAAUCCGAACUGUAUCCGAUUAAAACCGAAUCAAAUCCAAUCUGAACUUUUAUAAUAUUCAAAUAGAACUGAAUUUCAUAAAUCUAAAACUUGAAACCGUAAUCUGGUUAAGAUUCUGAUUGCCCAGCCCUAUAUUGACCCAACUUCCCACGUGAUGGUUGUAUUUUUGGGAAUAUAGUGGAUGGUUGUAUUUUACAUUUUUGGGAAUAUAGUGGAUGGUUGUAUUUUUUUAUUUAUUACGAAGACUAAAGUAUAUACAAAAUAUAUAGAUAUUGUCCCACCAUGAUCUUCUCGUACAUAUCUUGUCCAUCUAUAAAGCUUUAAGGGUUCUUUUCAUCGGGUGAUAAUAUUCAGAUGGCCGGACUCUGACAUGUCAGCAUCGGACAACCUUUUUAGACAAAGGUGUACAUACACCUCCAUAUUUCAGCAGAUAUAAUUUACGCGGUCCGAAUAUAUUUGUCAUUAAUGAAUUAUUAUUAUGUCCUACUAAUGUCCUUGUAUCUUCUAUCAUUUUCUAAAAUAUUUAGGUACUAAGAUAAGACUUGCGCCUAGCGCAGGGUAAGUUUAUUUGUAUAUAUUAUCGAUAGUUUUUUUUAUAUAUUUGAUAACUUUAUUUAUAUAUAUAAAAUAUUUUUUGUUAUUAUUAUAUAAUUUUUUUCCGAUGGAUCAGAUCAAUUUUUAUUAAAAAUAAUGGAACAAAACUAUAAUUAAUACAUCAUGGAUUGAUCGGAUUGGACAUUAAACAAAUUAUGACAUAAAAACCUUAUUUUUUCCAUCGAACACAUUCUUGAAAAAAGUGAACAGUAUUGUUUUCACAGUUGAAUUAUUUUGACUUUUAUCUUCCAUAUGGUUUUGAAAGCUUUCAAAUCAACCAUCGAAUUGAUACAUGUCAUUUUAAUGUUUUUAGUCGUAUACUUAAGGAAAACUUAUAUUUUUGUAAUUUAAAGUCGUUUUAAAAAAUUCAAAAUAUAACAUAUAAGAAAAAAUAUAACAUAUAAGAAAAAUAUAACAUAUAAGGUGUCUUCAUUUUUGUAUUUUAAAGUCAUUUUUUAAAAAAAAAAUAACAUAUAAUGUUUCCUCAUUUUUGUAAUUUAAAGUCAUUUUAAAAAAUUCAAAAUAUAAUAUAUAAGAAAAAAUCAAUUUUUUUAUUAUAUGGUUAGUGUGAUUGUUUUAUUUUUUAAUAAUAUAAAAUUAAACAAAAUGAAGAAGGAUGCAAAAAUUGUUAUCAAAUCUUUAUUAUUCAUAAUCAUUAAUUGUCAUAUAUAUGUAAAUCAUAUUAGGUAAUUUUGUAGCUUUUAUCUAGGGAAAGAAUACACACUUCNNNNNNNNNNNNNNNNNNNNNNNNNNNNNNNNNNNNNNNNNNNNNNNNAUAUUAGGUAAUUUUGUAGCUUUUAUUUAGGGAAAGAAUACACACUUCUUAUAUUUUAAGUUAAUAUAAUGUUCUCUAGUGAACAUUAAACAAAUUAUGACAUAAAAACCUUAUUUUUUCCCUCGAACACAUUCUUGAAAAAGUGAACAGUAUUGUUUUCACAGUUGAAUUAUUUUGACUUUUAUCUUACAUAUGGUUUUGAAAGCUUUCAAAUCAACCAUCGAAAUGAUACAUGUCAUUUUAAUGUUUUUAGUCGUACACUUAAGGAAAACUUACAUUUUUAUAAUUUAAAGUCGUUUUAAAAAAUUCAAAAUAUAACAUACAAGAAAAAAUCUAACAUAUAAGAAAAAUAUAACAUAUAAGGUGUCCUCAUUUUUGUAUUUUAAAGUCGUUUUAAAAAAAAUAUAACAUAUAAGGUUUCUUCAUUUCUGUAAUUUAAAGUCAUUUUAAAAAAUUCAAAAUAUAACAUAUAAGAAAAAAUCUAAUUUUUUAUUAUAUGGUUAAUGUGAUUGUUUAUUGUUUUUAAUAAUAUAAAAUUAAACAAAAAUGAAGAAGGAUGCAAAAAUUGUUAUCAAAUCUUUAUUAUUCAUAAUCAUUAAUUGUCAUAUAUAUAUGUAAAUCAUAUUAGGUAAUUCUGUAGCUUUUAUUUAAGGAAAGAAUACACACUUCUAUAUUUUAGGUUAAUAUAAUGUUCUGUAGUGGUAGUGGACAUUAAACAAAUUAUGAUAUAAAAACCUUAUUUUUUUCAUCGAACACAUUUUUGAAAAAUGUGAACAGUAUUGUUUCCACAGUUAAAUUAUUUUGACUUUUAUCUUCCAUAUGGUUUUGAAAGAUUUCAAAUCAACCAUUGAAUUGAUACAUGUCAUUUUAAUGUUUUUAGUCGUAUACUUAAGAAAAACUUACAUUUUUGUAAUUUAAAGUUGUUUUAAAAAAAAAUUCAAAAUAUAACAUAUAAGAAAAUUCUAACAUAUAAGAAAAAUAUAACAUAUAAGGUGUCCUCAUUUUUGUAUUUUAAAGUCGUUUUAAAAAUAAAUAUAUAACAUAUAAGGUUUUCUCAUUUUUGUAAUUUAAAGUCAUUUUAAAAAAUUCAAAAUAUAACAUAUAAGGUGUCCUCAUUUUUGUAUUUUAAAGUCGUUUUAAAAAUAAAUAUAUAACAUAUAAGGUUUUCUCAUUUUUGUAAUUUAAAGUCAUUUUAAAAAAUUCAAAAUAUAACAUGUAAGAAAAAAUCUAAUUUUUUUAUUAUAUGGUUAAUGUGAUUGUUUAAUUUUUUUAAUAAUAUAAAUUUAAACAAAAAUGAAGAAGGAUGCAAAAACUGUUAUCAAAUCUUUAUUAUUCAUAAUUAUUAAUUGCUAUAUAUAUGUAAAUCAUAUUAGGUAAUUCUGUAGCUUUUAUUUAAGGAAAGAAUACACACUUCUAUAUUUUAGGUUAAUAUAAUGUUCUCUAGUGUUAUAUAAUUAUGGAAUAAUGUGACACCAUUAGAUUAAACUAUACUUUAUAUUAGAUGCUCUAUAAUUCUUUGAAAUGGAAUUUAGAAGGCUUUUAGAGUGCCACCUAGAAUUUGAGGUUUUUUUUAAUUAAUACAAAAUUAAGGUUCUAAUUUUUCAAAUGCUUCUCAAUUAAUAUAUAGGGGAUUCAUGUCUUAGGGGGAUGUAUUCAAUUUAACAUUUGAUGUGAUUUGAUUUUUAAUGGGAUUUUAGAUGAUUUCAAUAAGUUGCAGAGAUUUAAGUGACUUUUGUUAAACUACUCUAGAAUAUCACCUAAAACUAUGGGAUUUGAGUUUUAAUUUUUUUAACUAAGAAAUCAUACCCAAACACCCUAAAAUCACCUGAAAACUUUAAAACUCCACAGCUUAAAAUAUUUUCAAUAACAGUGGAUUUCAGAGUACUUUAAGAAAUGUCAAAUUCAAUAACAGUGGAUUUUAAAUGAGUUUUUAAAAUUCAUGUUUCAAUAACAGUGGAUUUGUCAUUUUAAUACAAAUCACCUGAAACUCUCGGUUGAAUACAUCCCCCUUAGACUUUUCUGUCUCCUUUUAAAUUCAAUGGACAUGUUCAUAUGCAAAUCAAGAUACAAACCCUUUUUUUUUUCAAAAUUACAAACUUAUACGAGACCAAUCUAUUUUUAUAAUAACUAAAUUGAGAAAUUGAUGUAAAACACUGGAAAUUUUGGUUACAAAAAGAAAACACUGGAAAAUAAAUUGUUAAAAUGAACAAACUUCAAAUUCUUUCCUUUAUUUAAAUUUAAUUUGUUAUUUUUAUAAAAUUUUAUUUAGCUGUAAAAAUAAACCACUUAUUUUGUUGUUUUUCUUGUAGUCCUGACAUUACUAUGAUAUAUUUAGAGUGCAUCCACAAUGGAAAUUUUUACAAAAGUUUAUCAUGUUAAUUAAAAUAUUAAAAUAAGUAAAAAAGAAAAAUGUAAAGUUGAGAGAUAAGUGAGAAGUCUCUCAAAAAUCUUAAAAGACUCUAUUGUAAUAUGUCACAUUAUCAUAGGUUAAAUUGACUUUAUAAGAAAUAGAUACUUAUAAUAAUAUACAUGUUUAAUUUCUGAGAAAUUUAAAUGAAUAUCUACCACUAAUAUUUUUCAAUGUAUUUUGUUAUUUUCCCUAAAAUAUAGAAACUUUGUAAUAAAAGUGCAAUCUACUCCAACAUAUUUUAGCAUUUUUAUCAUAAACUAAAAAUAAAUAAAUGCAAUUUACUCCUUUGUUUAUUAAAAAAAUUCAACAUCUAGCUUUCUAUAAGAAAAAAAUGAGACGAAUCAAAGUAUACUUGCAUCUAAAUAAUAUUAUAGAGUCAAAUAUACAGUUGAGAUAGAAAUGCUCAAAAGGUACUCUUAAAUCUUUAGAAAUUUUUAAUAUAUAUAUAUUUCCCCUUUUUUAAAAUUUAUUUAAUGUUUUUUGACAAAAUUAUUUAUUUCAUGUUGCCAAUAUACACCUGUAAGGCUGUAAGUUAAUCAUUAUAUUUUUUCGGAUGAUCAUGAUCUUGCGGGUGUCCUCUAGAGUUCGUUUCUCUCUGUUCCUGGUGAUAUCCAUACCCAUAACCUUUCUAACAGGCCCCAAAUAUUUCAUCUCGAACUCUUUAUUCAACAAGUCCUUCAACCUCUGUAUUUCUUCCUUGUCUGUUGAGACUAUUAGCAUGUCGUCGUGUAAAGUAGUAGGUAUAUGUGCGUGUCCUCCUUCAGCUUCUUAAUGUAAACACAUGUAUUAUACCUUCUCCUUUUAUAGCCAACAGACUGCAUGAAAGUGUUGAACCGUUGAUUCCAUUUCCUCGGGGAUUGCUUUAAGCCAUACAUGGACUUCUUGAGAAGGCACACUUGUCUUGUUCUUCCCUCAACAACAUAAUCCUCUGGUUGUUCCAUCAGAAUGUGUUCAUCAAACUUUCCAUGGUGGAACACGGUCUUUAUGUCCAUCUGUUCAAAUUUCAUAUCAAACUGUACCACAAUGGAGAGUGGGUACCUUAUGGACACUUGUUUGACUACUGGAAAGAAGAUCUCUUAGUAGUCGAUGCCUUCUUUUUGUGAGUAGCUUUUGGCUACUAGUCGAGCUUUGUAUCUCGGAGGUUCAAUUCUUGAAUAUCUAUUUGCUACCAUUUAUGUGCUUCUUCUAAGUUUUUUCUUUAAGCGCUCAGGUAUGGUUUCUUGACAGAGAAAUCAUCUUCUCAUUACCUGCAUCUUCCAUUCUUUCCAUUCAGCAUUGUCCAUCGCUUCUUGAUAGGAUUCUGGUUCUGCUGUCUCACCAUCUUCUGUUGUGUUUUGAGCAAACCCAACCAGAUUUAACAUUUUCAGUGAAUCUCAGAGGAGCUUUGAUAGUCCUUCUUGUCUUGUCUCUGACCAGUUGGUAGUUCUCCCACUCGUAAUCCUCUGAUUCGCUGCUUGAGCUUUGGUCAUCUGGUUGAUCCUCAUCUCUUGAUCUAGUUGUAGUUAUUUUCUGACUAGCAUAAGAUAUUGCUUCUUCACGAUCAUUAUCUUCAUUAGAUAACCCCUUCAGCUUUAUUCGUAUCAUGUCCUUGUCUGAGUCAAGUUGUCUCUCCUCGUUGACCCUUUGUGAUGCAAUAUUCUUGAACAUUAUUCCUUCUUGGAAUAAUACAUCUCUGGACACUACACACUUUCUGUCUUCUAAGAGCCACACUCUGAAUCCCUUCACACCAGCAGGAUAGCCAACGAAGAUACAUUUCUUUUCUCUUGGGUUUAGCUUCCCUUGAUCCGAGUGUACAUAAGCCAUUGGCUCAAAUCUCCUGAGAAUCUUGUAAUCAGGUGGAUGUCUUGUCCAUACUUCAUUUGGUAUGUCGAAAUCAAUAGAUGAGCUUGGACUUUUGUUUAUUACAAACACUGCAAUUGAAGCCGCUUCUGCCCAGAACUGUUUUUCCAUCCCUGACUCGCUCAACAUGCACUUGACCUUGUUCAUUAUGGUCAUGUCCAUCCUCUCUGCAACUCCGUUUUGCUGAGGGGUGUAAGCACAUGUCAUGUACCUUACAACUUCUUCCUCUUUGCAAAAAGAAUUGAAUUCCUAGUUGUAGAACUCGAGGCUAUUGUGCGUUCUCAGAGCUUUAGCCUCUUCCUUGUCUGAUUUUCUGCCAACACUUUCCACUCCACAAACUUGCUGAAAGCUUUGUCUUUAGUCUUUAUGAAGUAAGUCCAUGUCUUCCUGGUAAAUUCAUCGAUAAAUGUUAUGAAAUAUUGACAUUUACCAAGAGACGAUGGAACCGUUGGAGAUCCCCACAGAUCCAAGUGCACAUAAUCCAUCUUGCUCUUCGUGACAUGCUUCGCAGACCCAAAACUGACUCUGUGUGUUUUCUCGUAGACACAAUCUUCACAGAACUGCAACUCUUUCACUUUAACCUUAUCCAAAUGCCUUGUUCUGACCAGUACUUCCAAUCCUUUUGAGCCAAUGUGUCCCAACCGACUAUGCCAUAGACUUGUUUCAUCAUUCAUCAUGUCUAUAGAAUUUACUUCUCCAACCAGAGUAGUUGCUUGCAGAAAGUAUAGGGUGUUCAAUUUCUUCCCUGUUAGAACCAUAUCUCCUCUUCUUAUGAUUUUCAUGACACCAUUCUUUGACUCAAGCCAGCAUCAUUUGUCUUCAAGUGUUUGUAAAGAUAUCAGGUUCUUUGACACCGCAUGAACAUAUCUGACAUGCGUACGCAGCACUGUAGUUCCAUCUUCAUUCAGGAUCCUGACAUCUCCUAUGACCCUGACAUCUGAGUAAGUAUUGUUUUCCAUUAUGACUUUCCCACUUGAGGUUUCUAUGUAGUUCAACAACCAGUUUUUUCUCCCAGUCAUGUGAAACGAGUAGCCUGUACCAAGAACCCAUGUCUCCGGAGUUACCUCAGCAAAUCCAAGUAGAGCAUCCGACGCUACUAACGCAGCCGUGUCUGUGGUUUGAGAAGUUACAGUGGAAGCUUCACCUCGAACUGAUGAUGAGUCUCUUGACUUGUUUCUUUCCUUCCACAUGUAACAUUGUUUUUUUAAAUGACCUUCCUUUCCACAGACCCAACAAGUCUUUCCGCUUCCUCUAAAUUUUGAUCUGCUUUUGUGCUUCCCCCUGUCUGUCCCUUUGCCCCUUUUGUUUGAUCAGCCUCGGUCCUGAAAAAACAAGAUAUCUGAGUUGUUCUUCAGUAGCUUUCCUAUGGACUCAAGCUCCAGUAUUUUAGAUCUGAUGGCUACAGUGAUUUCUUCAAGAUGAAGAGUUGUCUUGCAGUACUUGAGUGUUUCUCUCAGCUGAUCAAACUUUCUAGGUAGAGACAUCAGCAAGACUAUAGCUUGAUCUUCUUCUGGUACUACGACUUUGACAUUCUCUAGAUCUGAGAUCAGCUUGAAGAAAUCAUUCACGUUCUCUUCUAUCGUCAUGCCAUCACUCAUCUUGUACGCAUCUAACCUUUGUUUAAGGUAUAUACGGUUUGGAAGAGAUCUUGCCAUGAAUAGACCAUCCAAUACUUUGAGCAUACCUGCUGUUGUUUUCUCCUUGAUGAUCUUCCUCAGGACAUGGUUCUCAGCGCUCAAGAUGAUGGUAGAUCUGGCCUUUCCUCUCUUCUCCUUGAGAGUUUUAGCCUGAGGUUCCGAAGCUUUUGGUGGUGCAGGGGUGACUUCUCUUUCGUUUGUUCCACCGCCUGCAGACUCUUCACCAACAUCAGCCUCUUCUUCUUCUUCUUCUUCAAGUCCUUCGAGAAGAGCCAGUAGAUCCAAGUGAGCCAACAGCUUUUCCUUACACAGAAUGUAGUUUCCAUCACCAUCGAACUUUUCCACUUAUGCUUUGUUCGAUGACAUCCUUCAGAGCUUCUUCAGUCGUCGAGGUUAUAGUAAAAUGGCUUUGAUACCAAUUUGUGAAAGAACGUUACACCUUGAACUAUAAAAGAACAGAACUCAAGUGAGUUUUUUGUUUGUAUCAAAGUGUUUAACUCUCAAAUCUCUUUUGUUCAGUCGUUUGUUUGGUUGUAAUCCAAACAAGUAAGUAAAUACACCAAAGAUUUAACGAGUUCAGGCCCUUCACCUCGCCCUACGUCUCGCUGAGAAACUUCUCAGAAAUCCACCAAGAAACUUUGCUCAAGCUAGAGCCUUUUUAGUGUUCUUACAAUCUCUCUCUAUCUCACUUACAAUUUUUUCUCUCUAACCCAUAACCCUAAUUAAGCUUACUCGACAUUGGGCGCGCCUUCUUCAGACAACGUCAGUACUCGCAUGCUUGCUAGUGUGGUCCAUCUUCUAGAGUCGGCGAUUAUCAGAACUUCAUCUUGCCUCCUCUAGUUGUAUGUACUUCUUCGACAAGAUGACACCAAGAGAGAGAGAGAGAGAGAGAGAGUGAAGAGCUUCAGUCUUCGUUUGUCUUUGUCGUCAAACCAAGCCCGACUCCUUGCUGGACCAGAACACUUCAUGGACUUCGACUUGGGCUUGAAGAAAUGACCCUGCAAAGUGUAGACCAAUUCCACACCUCGCAACCCUAAAUCCACCUGUGAUGAGAAUCUUUCAAUUCAACCACACACACGUGCUAAGCUUCCUUGACUACUUAAACCAAUUCAGAAAAAACAAAGUCCAUCACCAAGCUUGUGCCUUCUUCGGGCAACCUGAUCCACCAUCUCCUUGCACGUGUCCUCUUAAGCAAGCUUGGGAAAGCUUAGAUACUUUGUUCCGACGGAGGAGAGCUACUUACGAAGAACACGGUGGUGGAUCAUCUGAUAGUAACCCGUUUGGAAACGGGUCGAUCCGGAUUCAUUUGAGGGAAGAAAAAGAAAAGGAAGAAAACCAAAACUGACACCGUCGUUGUCAAGAAAGAUUAUUCAAAUUCUCUUCGGGGUUAUAAUUAUUAGUCCACUUGAUCACUCGAUCAUAUAUAAGGUAAUAACUUUUUUUCUCGUUCACUCAAUAAUUAGAGUCCGAUCUUUACUUCGACCCGUUAGAUAAAACUCUAACUUUGACUGGUGAUUUCUUGGAAGAAAAACCCUAAUAUGAGAAAUUAUGUUGAUAUUCUAUGAUUUCAAAAUGCUUCCUGGGUAUUUUCAAUUUAUAUGGAGUUUCAGAUUCUUACACAAAUGAAAAAAUGGUUACAUGUUCAGUUUUACUUUUAUUUAAUUAUCAAAAUUCUAUUGCAUUUUUUAAUUUAAUGAAAUGUAAAAUAUAAACUGAUAGAAAAUUGCAUUAAAUUCGUAAACUCGGUAACAAAAGUUUUACUUUACAAUUAUAUUUUAAGAAAUGUAGGGAUUAUUUACUAGGACGAUAACGAAUUUAAGAUUUUUUAAUAUAAAACUCAAUGCUAUAACUUAUUAAAUUUUAGCUUAAUCUCAACCUAUAAAUUAACUUAGUUCCUUCAUGGUGUGUGUAUAUAGCUCAAUUUAUUUUUAAUAAUUAGAUAUAAGAGCAAUUUGGGUCAAAAACAUAGAACUCUUACGAAAUUAGGUAAAUAUGAAAGAGGGAGAAGUUGUGCCAGCGUGUCACGGUUUAGGGACGCGAGAAGACGAUACUACCCUUCUGGUUUAGCAAGUCGACUUCCUGAUUAUAGGGUCCUAGGUCAGUGUCUGACAGGAAAGAUUUACAGAGAUUUGGCACUGCAGUGUAAAGAUUUGUUUUGGAUUUUAGAAGAUUACAUUGGUAACCGAUAUUCUAUAUUCUGCAGUUCUCCUAACUGUGGCUUGGAAUCUGGUGAUGACCAUGACGAUAACUCGAGCAGCAGCGACAUAGUGCUGAUCCUUUCUCUUUCUUUAACAGUGUGAUGACUAUUGGUUUGGUUGUGAGAAAGUAUAUACAUAGGCGGAGAGCUUUAUCCGAGACUCAUGGGCGGAGCUUCGUCGGAGACACAAGGCGGGGAGCUUGGCCAGAGACACAUGGGCCGAAAGGUAGACCAGAGACGCAGUGGCCGAGAUUUUCGCGGGAGACGCAGUGGCCGAAAGCUUCACCGGAGACGCAAAUGCGGCCGAGAAAUCUUACUUCGUUAAAUGACCAUUUAGAUGGUUGUAUUAAAUUAUAACUGGUACCAUAAUUUGUUAGAUGUAUAUUUAGUUGAAUAUACAACUAAGCAGAUUCAUGAUUUUAACCUAAUACCAUAAUAACUAAUACCCAAAACCCUAAGCCCAAUAGUAACUCCGGAACCCAAACUCUAAUGUCUAACCCCAAAACCCAAACACUAAACUCUAUACCCUUAUUACUAUAUCCUAAACCCUAUACCCUUAUUCUCAACCCUACCACCUCCGCCCUAAUGUAAGUGUAAACAAGUUAUGUAGAAAACUAAAUUUGUAUACAGUUUACUAUCGAUUUAACCGUCUAACAUCUACGUUCACCUAAAACGAUAACGUUUAAAAUUUCCGCUUAGCCGGAUACUUUUUGAAUGAACCGAGUGUUGUAACUGUUGACCGGCCAAAUCGAUUGUUUCUAUAUUAACGGUACAUAGGUUAAUAAACGCUUAACUCAAACAAAAAAUCCAAUGCCCUGAAUACUAAACUCUAAACCCGAAAUACUAAACCCUAAACCCAAUAGGAAGCCCAAAACCCAAACCCUAGUCACUAAAUCCUAAACCUUAAACCCAAUAGUAACCCCGGAACCCAAAAACCCUAGUCAUUAAACCCUAAACCCAAUACUAAACCCCUUAAACCCAAUAGGAACCCCUGAACCCAAACCUCCACGUAAGUGUAAACAAUUAUCUAGAAAAUUGAUUUCUUAUACAUUUAUGUAUCUUGUUAACCGGAUACUUUGUCCUUUCACCCUAAACAAUAAUGUAUUAAAGUUCAUCUUAGCCGGAUAUUGUUAUAAUUACCGGUCGGUUGUAAAUAUUGACCGGUUAAAUAGUUAGACUCCAUAUUGCGGGUACAUAACUUUAUAAGAAUCAAGAUCAUAACUAUGACAUAUGAAAUGAAUAUACGAGUAACGUUUAGGCAAUGUUUUCGUUGAUCACCCUAAACCCUAAACCCUAAGCCCUAAACCCCGAAACCCAAAAACCCUAGUCAUUAAACCCUAAACCUAAUACUAAACCCUAAACCUAAUAGGAACCCCUGAACCCAAACCUCCACGUAAGUGUAAACAAAUUAUCUAGAAAACUGAUUUCUUAUACAUUUAUGUAUCUUGUUAACCGGAUACUUUUUCCUUUCACCCUAAACGAUAAUGUAUUAAAGUUCAUCUUAGCCGGAUAUUGUUAUAAUUACCGGUCGGUUGUAAAUAUUGACCGGUUAAAUAGUUUGACUCCAUAUUGCGGGUGCAUAACUUUAUAAGAAUCAAGAUCAUAACUAUGACAUAUGAAAUGAAUAUACGAGUAACGUUUAGGCAAUGUUUUUGUUGAUCACGACAAAUUAUUAGACAGCUAAUAUUAUAUAUACACCUUUAAAAAUGAGUUACUUGAGAUUAUAAUCCGAUUUUUUUUAAUAUCAAAUUGUUAUACAGUCAAUAUAUUAUUUACACGGUUAACGAACAAGAAGAUUUUAUAUGACACGUCAACCUUACAACAUAUAUAACAUAUAUAUCAAGUGGAGACACAACGGUGAAGAAAUUUGUCGAAGAUGCCGUGGCGGAGGGCUUCACUGGAGACACGGGGGGUACAAGAGCUUGACCGGGGGCGCAUAGACCGAGAACUUCACCGGAGACUAGCGACUGAGAGCUUCACCGGAGACGCAGUGGCAGAGAGCUUCUCCGACGGCGAAAAUCCUUUCCGGCAUAAGACAAGGGGGCCUCCGCGUUCCGUCGUUCUCCUCCAUACAGUGCUUGAGUUAGAGCAGAAAAUUAUUUAAUUUUGGAAUGAGAGAAUGAGAGAGAGAGAAAGGCCUAAUGUCAAAUUUUCGAGUCUCGAAUUAUUUCGUAUAACCGCCAGUAACUGAUACGCAACCUCUGACAAAGAGAUUUGGUAGAGAAUAGAUCUUUGCAUAUCUUACAGGAAGAUUUGCUCUACUUCUUCGGUUAAUGAGAGGUUUAUGAAGUAGGUGUAGCAGGGUAAAAAGAUACCAUGAACAGUUUCCAUUUUUCAUGCAUUUGGUAUUUGGCCAAUAUCGUGUAAGUGUGUUGGUAGAGCUUCUAAUUUCUCAAAAGCAUGAUUAUCCGCUUGUUCCUUAAUUACGCUAUGGAUUGUCACUAUAUGGUGUAUACAUGUUUGGUAAUUGUUGGUAUAAUAUUCGUAGCUUUAUAUAGCUUCAAUGGUCAGUGUCUUGAUUUUCAAAACUUUAUUGUUUAUAAUAUAUACUGACUGAAAUUAAAAAAAAAAAUUGAAAUAAAAGUGUCAAUAUUUUUUUUGCGAUCUAAGAUAAACAUAAACUCGAUAAUUUAAUAUGCUUAGUUAUUAAAUACUAUCCAAAAUGCUUCACUCUUGGAUGGAAUUCUGAGAUACAUUGAAGGAUGCCUUGUCCAGAGUUCAUUUUACUUCACACAUCCGUUCCUACAUCGAAGGAGGAAAUAAUCUUUUGAAGACAAAAGGUAUUGCCCUUUGGCAUAAAAAACAAUGACUGAAAACACGGGAAAUCGGUCGAUUGAUACCUCAACAUAGUGUCGCGGUCCCGAUCAGUACAUAUACUCGAACCCUGUGCUAAAACAUACAUCAACACAUAAUAUAUUCAAAUUUCAUACAUUAACUAACAAAAUUCGGGUUUUACAUGACCAAUUACCCGUUAGUCAAAAAUAACAAAAUCUGAGUUCAAUAUGUGGCUUUUAUAUUUUAAAUAAUUAAUAAUUAGUAAAAAACACUAUCCAUAAUAGAGGAAAGGGGGGCUCAAACCUGGGUCCAUUAACCACUGUGACAAACACAAUGUUUUGAUUGUAUUAUCUAUAGUUUUCUAUUUAUACCUAAUAAAUAUUUCAUUCAUAUAUGGCAAUUAUUUAAAUAAAUAAUAAAAAUAAACUUUUUACUCUCUCAAAUAAUUGUUUUCGAAAUAUUUUUUUUUCAAAUUCAAAAUUUUUAUAAAAAAAAUAUAUCCAAUUUUUUUUUCCAAUAUUUUGAAAAUUUUGUUUUGAAUUUCGAAAAUGCUUUUUUGAAACUAUUUUUAAAAAAUUAUUUAUUAUUUAUUUAUUAUUUCUUAGAAUUCAAAACCACAUCUCAACUCUAAACUUUAAGUCUAUAUUAAUUAAUUCUAAGGAGAUGAAUGUAUAUUUACCUUUAAUAAAACCUCCACAGUUGAAGAAUUAGAGCUUCGGCUGAAAUAAAAAAAUAAAAAUAGUUUCAGAAUUCGAUAAUUAAAAAAAAUUUAAAAAGUUUAAAUUUAAAAUCAUAUAUUUCGAAAACUAAAAAAUAUAUAUAUAUUUUUUUAUUAUUUAUAUUUAUUCAAUAAUUAUUUGAAAAAAAAUAUUUGAAUGAAAUAUUCAUUAGAUAUAAAUAGGAAACAAUAGAGAAUAUAAUCAACAAAUCGUGUCUGGUACAAUGGUUAAUGGACCCGUUGAAAUACUGUGACCCAGGUUUGAGUCUCCCCCACCUCCCUUUAUAGACAAUUUUUUAUUAAUUAUUUGAAAUAUAAAAAAACCAUGUAAUUGUUAUGAAAGUCAGAAAAAGCAGCUACCGUUUUCGUUGAAAAUAUAAAAAGAUAUGGGAUCCGCUUCACUAUUUGCACAGUGAAUUUCUCUUCUAUAUAAACGAUCGUUUCGAUCAUUGUAAACACACCAUUCAUUCUCCUUCUAAUAACACAUCCUCUCUUGUUAUCAGUAUUAUCUUCUCCUACGGGUAUAAAAUUUUGCCCUUAUUUAAAUUCCCGCGAUACAAUAAAAUUCCAGUUCUUUUUAUAACACGUUAUCAGCACGAUCACUCUGCGAUUCGGUAAAAUUUAUUUGUAUCAUUUAUACCCUGUUAUAAUGGUCGGUAUACCGCCUCUACUAUUAUUUAUAUCAUGUUAUAAUGGCCGGAAUACCGCCUAUAUUAUUUACUAGUAAUUUAAUUUAUUUAUUGGUCGGCCGAGCCGCCUUAUAUUCUGUUUAUUAUUUAUUGGUCGGCCGAGCCGCCUUAUAUUCUGUUUAUUAUUUAUUGGUCGGCCGAGCCGCCUUAUAUUCUGUUUAUUAUUUAUUGGUCGGCCGAGCCGCCUUAUAUUCUGUUUAUUAUUUAUUGGUCGGCCGAGCCACCUUAUAUUCUGUUUAUUAUUAAUUGGUCGGCCGAGCCGCCGUAUAAUUUAUUUAUUACUCUGCAUUGAUCGGCUGAGCCGUCGCAUGAUUUGUUGUCAUAACAUAAAUAUUUCAUUGCCAUAAUUUUUACUUUUAUGAAAUUUUAUAGAUUUGAUUGACCGUUUAAUACGAUAUUUUCAGACUGAUUUUUAGUGCACUUGAUUUAACCCCAACGGUCACAAAGAAGUUUUUUCAAAAUUUCUCUUUUCUCCAACGGUCAUGAACAGUGAUUUUCAUCUAUAAAUACAACUCAUUUUCACUCCAUUUCAUCAUCCAAAACAUAUCAUCUUCUCUCAAAAAUUUCAAAUCGCUCUCCUCCGAUUUUUCAUUUCAAGAAAGAUGAUUCGCGCACUUUUAUUUUUAUGUGCCAUUUUUAUUUGUGUUUCUAUUUAUGGUUUAUUCGUUGGAGAAUUUACUCCGAGUGAAUUUAAGAUGAAUAUCGGUUUAAUUUUCUUUACAUCGCUUCUCCUUGUAAUUGCUUGCAUGAUUAAUGUAAACGGUUCCUUUUAAUAUCAAUAAUAUUCUAAUAAUUUUUAUUUAUGUACUUUAGAAAUACAAAUGGCAAAAAUAGAGAAACUUCAGUUUCCGGCAUUGGAAGUAACUGGCACAAACUACAAGGCAUGGGUCACAAACAUGGAGCUUCAUCUAGAUUCCGAGAAAAUACUCGAAACAAUAAGAGAAGGCAAUAUAUCAACCUCUCAUGAAAAGGCUAAGGCCGUGAUAUUUCUGAGAAGGCAUCUAGAUGAAAAUCUUAUGCAUGAUUAUGCGAGAACCAAAGAUCCCUUAGAUCUUUGGAAAGCUCUGAAGGAGAGGUUUGAUAACCAAAAGAAAAUUACUCUCCCCCAUGCACUCGAUGAGUGGAAAAAACUACGAUUUCAAGAUUUUGAAAAAGUGAAAACGUACAAUUCCGCUAUAUUGAGAAUAGCGGCGCAAUUAGAUAAUUGCGGUAAGCCUGUCUCGGAAGCAGAAAUGCUCGAGAAAACUUACCAAACGUUCCACAAAAAUCAUUAUGUUCAACAAGAACAAUAUAGAAAUUGUGGGUAUACGAGGUUCUCUGAACUCGCUGUGGCGCUUAUAAUAGCGGAGAGAAAUAAUGAACUCCUCAUUAAAAACCACAAUGCCCGACCAACGGGAACAAAAGCAUUUCCUGAGGUAAAUGCAACGGAUAUAAAAAAUCCGGAAAAAAAAAAUUAUUCCUAUCGUGGGCGUGGUCGUGGCAGUGGUCACAAUCGUGGUUUUGGUCGUGGUCGUGGUUAUCGAUUUAACCGCAACCAUGAAAGGAGUAACAACCCAAGAGGAAGGGGAUCCAACACAUGGAAUCGAUCUGAUCGGGUAAAAGGAAAAGAAACCCAAGAAAACCCUACUCAUAAAAAUGAGAACGUCUGUUACAGAUGUGGAUCGAAGGGACACUGGUCUCAAGUAUGUCGAACUCCUCAGCAUCUAUGCCAAUUGUACCAAGAAUCUAUUAAAGGCAAGGCAAAGGAAGUAAAUCUCAAUGAACACCUUGUGGGUACAACAUCGACAUACCUCGAAUCCUCUGACUUUAUGGGAGAUUUCGACGAGGCCACUCAUCAAAAUAAUUGAAGUGCUUGUACUGAUCAAGCUUAAAAAUGCCUAGUGAUGCCAUAAAAUAUUAUGUAUUUCACUUUCAGAAUAAUGUUAUAUUUCAUAAUAACUAAUGUAUAAUUAUUGUGUACUUGUUAUUGAUGGAUAAUAUGUUUACUUAUGAAAGUUUAUUUUCUUUAUUGAUAUUAACUGUGUGUUACAGAAAUGGAUAAGAAAGCAAAUGGAACAACAACUAAACAAAUUGGUAGAGAAGUUUGCAUACCAGAUAGUGGCACAACGCACACUAUACUGAAAGAUAAGAGAUAUUUCUCUACUUUAAAGUCAGUAAAAAUGACUAUAAACACAAUAUCAGGUCCUACAGACCUGAUCGAAGGAAUUGACAAGGCGAACUUUAUGUUGCCUAAUGGAACAAAGUUUUCCAUAGAUAAUGCCUUAUAUUCUCCAAAUUCUAAGAGAAAUUUGCUGAGUUUCAAAGAUAUAUACCGUCAAGGGUAUAACACUCAGUCUGCAACUGAGAAUGGAAAGAAGUAUUUGUAUAUAACUUCUGAAAAAUCAGGCAAAGGCCUUGUACUGGAAAAAUUUCCAGAACUUCCUUCUGGAUUGCAUCACACUUAUAUUGAUGUUAUAGAAUCACAUCUUGUGAUAAAAAAGAAUCCAGAAGAUGUUACAUUAUGGCAUGAUCGCCUUGGUCAUCCAGGCACUACAAUGAUGCGAAAAAUCAUUGAAAGCUCACAUGGUCAUUCAAUAAAAACCCAAGAUAUAUACCAAAGUAAUAAAAUGACAUGUGAUGCGUGUGCUCUUGGGAAAUUAAUCAUAAGACCAUCACCAACCAAAGUUGACAAAGAAUCACCAAAGUUUUUGGAAAGAAUCCAAGGUGAUAUUUGUGGACCAAUACAUCCACCGUGUGGACCAUUCUACUACUUUAUGGUAUUAAUCGAUGCAUCGAGUAGAUGGUCACAUGUUUGUUUGUUAUCAUCUCGAAAUAUGGCAUUUGCGAGAUUUCUAACUCAGAUAAUCAAAUUAAGAGCACAGUUCUCAGAUUAUCCAAUUAAAAGAGUUAGAUUAGAUAACGAUGGUGAAUUCACAUCCCAAGCUUUUAAUGAUUAUUGUAUGGUAUCAGGGAUUGAAGUAGAGCAUUCUGUUGCUCAUGUUCAUACACAAAAUGGUUUGGCAGAAUCAUUAAUUAAACGGCUGCAACUAAUUGCAAGGCCAUUGAUCAUGAGAUCAAAACUCCCAACCUCUGUAUGGGGACAUGCUAUUUUGCAUGCAGAAGCACUAAUUCGGAUAAGACCAAGUGCAUACCAUAGAUAUUCCCCAUUACAGUUAGCAUUUGGAAAAGAACCAAAUAUCUCUCAUCUAAAAAUCUUUGGUUGUGCGGUUUAUAUUCCAAUAGCACCACCACAACGUACAAAGAUGGGACCGCAAAGACGGUUGGGAAUAUAUAUUGGCUGUGAUUCUCCAUCAAUAAUAAGAUACCUAGAACCACAAACUGGUGAUGUGUUUUCGGCACGAUUUGCCGAUUGUCAUUUCAAUGAGAAAGAAUUCCCAACUCUAGGGGGAGACAAUAAACAAGUAGGAAAAGAGAUCAAAUGGAGUGUACCAUCGUUAUUACACCUUGAUCCUCCUACGAAACAGUCAGAACUAGAAGUUCGACGUAUCAUGCAUUUACAAAAUAUAGCAAAUCAGCUACCUGAUGCAUUUGCUGAUACCAAAAUGGUAACUAAAUCACAUAUACCCGCUGCAAAUACUCCUGCUCGUAUUGAAAUACCACAAAAUGGUGGAACGGCAGUUGAUACACGUGAAUCAGGAACACGUUUAAAGCGCGGUAGACCUAUUGGUUCAAAGGAUAAACUUCCUAGAAAACGUAAGGAAUGUGAAAAGCAUGAUACUCCCAAAAUAACAGAAAAUAUUUUGGACGAAGAAAAUUGUGAAUCUAAUGACAAUAUAAAGCAUCUUGAAUCUGAAGGAAAUCAUGAGAUUUCUAUCAAUUACAUCCAUAAUGGAAAGAUAUGGAAACGAAAUGAGAUGGAUGAUAUUGAUGACGUUUUCUCAUACCUUUUAGCAAAGGAAAUAAAUGAAGAAAACGAAGAUCCAGAACCAAAGUCUGUAUAUGAAUGUCAAAAGAGACAUGACUGGAUAAAAUGGAAAGAUGCAAUUCAAGUCGAAUUAGAUUCGCUUAACAAACGAAAUGUAUUCGGACCUAUUGUGCUCACACCCAAAGAUGUAAAACCAGUUGGGUACAAAUGGGUGUUUGUCCGAAAAAGAAAUGAGAAAAACGAGAUUACGAGAUACAAAGCUCGUCUCGUAGCCCAAGGUUUCUCUCAAAGGCCAGGAAUUGAUUAUGAGGAAACUUAUUCUCCUGUUAUGGACGCAAUCACAUUUAGAUUCUUGAUGAGCCUAGCGGCCAAUAAAAAUUUAGAAAUGCGUCUCAUGGAUGUUGUUACGGCAUAUUUAUAUGGAUCAUUAGAUACUGAUAUCUAUAUGAGAAUCCCAGAUGGAUUUAAAAUGCCAGAAAUGUUAAGUUCUAAACCUAAAGAGUUAUGUGCAAUAAAAUUGCAAAGAUCAUUAUAUGGGUUAAAACAAUCUGGACGAAUGUGGUAUAAUCGUCUCAGCGAACACUUAACAAAAGAAGGAUACACGAAUGAUCCUAUAUGCCCUUGUGUUUUCAUAAAGAAAACAACAUCCGGAUUUGUGAUAAUCGCGGUGUACGUUGAUGAUCUUAAUAUUAUUGGAACUCAAAACGAAAUCCAAAAGGCAUCAAACUAUCUGAAAGGAGAAUUUGAGAUGAAGGAUCUCGGGCAGACAAAAUAUUGUCUAGGAUUACAAAUUGAGCAUUCUCAAAAUGGUAUAUUUGUACACCAGACUACAUAUACCAAACGAGUAUUGAAACGCUUUAACAUGGAUAAAGCAACUCCUCUUAGCACCCCGAUGGUCGUUAGAUCACUUAAUGUUGAAAAUGAUCCGUUUCGACCAUCCGAGGAAAAUGAGGAAAUACUUGGUCCUGAAACUCCAUACUUAAGUGCAAUUGGAGCUCUUAUGUAUCUUGCAAAUUGUACUCGGCCUGACAUAUCUUUUGCCAUUAAUCUUUUAGCGAGAUUCAGUCCGUCUCCUACGCGAAGACAUUGGAAUGGAAUUAAACAUGUCUUUCGUUACCUUCAAGGAACGACUAAUUUAGGCUUGUUUUAUCCUAAAAGUUCAAAAGGUCAAAUGAUUGGUUUUGCAGAUGCAGGUUAUUUGUCAGAUCCACACAAAGCUCGAUCCCAGACAGGAUAUGUUUUUACAAUUGGAGGCACCGCCAUAUCUUGGCGUUCUCAGAAGCAGACACUUGUUGCUACUUCUUCAAAUCACGCUGAGAUCAUUGCACUCCAUGAAGCAAGUAGAGAAUGUGUAUGGCUAAGAUCAAUAAGCCGACACAUCUGUUCAAGCAGUGGGAUUGACGAAAAUACGGAGCCAACUAUUCUAUAUGAAGAUAACGCGGCAUGUGUUGCUCAAACGAAGGAAGGAUAUAUCAAAAGCGAUAGAACCAAACAUAUACCCCCGAAGUUUUUCUCAUACACGCAAGAGCUUGAGAAGAAUAAAGAGAUUGAAGUAAGAUAUGUUCAAUCAUGCGACAAUGCAGCUGACCUCUUCACAAAAUCACUUCCGACUUCAGUAUUCAGAAAACAUUUCCAUAACAUUGGAAUGCGUAAUCAGAAGGAUAUAUGACUGCUUAAUCGAGGGGAAGCUUACGUAGUUGUACUCUUUUUACCUUACUAUGGUUUUUCCCAUUGGGUUUUCCUAGAAAGGUUUUUAACGAUGCAACAAAGAUGUUAAGCGAGAGUGGAUAGUGACACCGGUCCCCAAGGGGGAGUGUUAUGAAAGUCAGAAAAAGCAGCUACCGUUUUCGUUGAAAAUAUAAAAAGAUGUGGGGCCCGCUUCACUAUUUGCACAGUGAAUUUCUCUUCUAUAUAAACGAUCGUUUCGAUCAUUGUAAACACACCAUUCCUUCUCCUUCUAAUAACACAUCCUCUCUUGUUAUCAGUAUUAUCUUCUCCUACGGGUAUAAAAUUUUGCCCUUAUUUAAAUUCCCGCGAUACAAUAAAAUUCCAGUUCUUUUUAUAACAGUAAUCAAUAUGUAACAGAUAUAUCAAAUUUCGUUAUCUUUGCCUAACAGGUAAUGGUCAAUGUAUGUAAAAGCUAAAUUUGUUAGUUGAUGUAUGAAUUUUGAAUAUAUUAUGUGUUGAUGUAUGUUUUAGCACCGGAUCCGAGUGUAUAUACCAUCUUUGUUGAGGCAUGAAUUGACCGAUUUCUCCUGGAAACACACCGUCUUUGUUGAGGCAUGAAUUGACCGAUUUCUCCUGGAAACACAUUUAAUCAUGCCUUUGUCAAACUAGGCUUUACAAAUUUGUAUCAUCCGCCUAAAAGACCAAGAUAGAGAAUGGGCUGAAAUAGAAAAAGAAAAUCAGAAUAUAUUAUUUCCAAAACAUCUUUACCACAUCAAACCCCGCAGACUUUAAGGGUGAUGCUUUAUUGGGCUUAAAUGGAUCUUAAUUUUACGCCAUCGGGCCUGCAUCAAUACUUUCCGUCUGAAAUUAGGUUCUCUCCUUCUCAUGCAUCUCCCUGUUUUUACUUUUCAGUUGUGCUAUUUUGUUUUUGGUAGACGAUGUGUUUCUUAUAAUAUUGUACAAUAUUAAUGUGUGAAUAAUAAGUGUGCAUCGUAUAAAGGAAUCGACUACGUGGAUUCAUUAUUUGCCACUAACUUCACCACAUAUAUGUCAUAACCUUCCAAAUUUGACCGCAACAUAUUCAUUACAAUGACGUUACAAAGUAAAGUUGUUCCCUACAUUUUGUUAAUAUAACUAUAACAGUAAUCAUAAUGAUUACUUUUUAAUUAUAGUCAUCAUAACCGGUAACGUUUAAAGUAUUUUGUUUUUAGCAGUACUAGAUUUAUAUGUAUUUUUCAAUUCAAAAAAAAUAAUGUAUAAUAUUGUAUUAUAUUAUUUAAAGAAUAUAAAAUAAGACUACAUAACAUAAAUAUAUUUUUAAAAUUUUCUUUGUGGAAAUCAUUAUGUUGUUUGAUUGUUGUACUUGAUUCACAUAUUUGCAUAGAUAUUUGUGAUAAAUGAAUAAUUAUAUUUUUAUUAUCAGUAAAUAAUAUAUAUUUAUUAUAUAAUAUAAGAAAAAUGAAAUUAUUUACUUUUUAAACAAAUUUAUCUCAUGUUGGGAAUUCGGUUAUAGACAUAUCAUAUUCGAAUGAGACAUUUUUACAGUUAUCAAUCUUCUUAACAGUCAAGAAACAAAUCUGAAUAUCAAAACAAUAUCUCAUACGAUCUCUUUAGGGAAUAACUGCUCUGAAGAAAUUGAAUUUAAGCAUAAAAAAGGACUGGAAAUGGAUGUGCAGAUGUGUUAUCUAAGUCAGCUUUACAAAAUACUAUUCAUAGUUCAUAUAUCAUUUAUGUCAAUCCUAUUUUUUUGUCCAUCCUUUCUUAAACAUCUUGAAAUAACUAAUGAUAAUUAAUAAUAAACUUUUGGCUAGGAAAAAAAAAUCAAAUUUGUCUAAUUAUUGUUUAAUUUGUUUAAGUGAUAUAUGUAUUUCUCAAUUCAAAAAAAUAAUUUAUAAUAUUGUAUUACAUUAUUUAAAGAAUAAAAUAAGACUACAUAACAUAAAUAUAUUUUUUAAUUUUUUUUUGUGGAAAUCAUUAUGUUUUUUGAUUGUUGUACUUGAUUCACAUAUUUGCAUAGAUAUUUGUGAUAGAUGAAUAACUAUAUUUUUAUUAUCAGUAAAUAAUAUAUAUUUAUUAUAUAAUAUAAGAAAAAUGAAAUUAUUUACUUUUUAAACAAAUUUAUCUCAUGUUGGGAAUUCGGUUAUAGACAUAUCAUAUUCGAAUGAGACAUUUUUACAGUUAUCAAUCUUCUUAACAGUCAAGAGUCUCAUAUUGGGGACUCGGUUAUAGACAUAUCAUAUUCGAAUAAGACAUUUUUACAGUUAUCAAUCUUCUUAACAGUCAAGAAACAAAUCUGAAUAUCAAAACAAUAUCUCAUACGAUCUCUUUGUGAAAUAACUGCUCUGAAGAAAUUGAAUUUAGGCAUCAAAAAUGAUUCGAAAUGGAUGUGCAAAUAUCUUAUCUAAGUCAGCUUUACAAGUACUAUUCAUAGUUCAUAUAUAAUUUAUAUCCAUCCUAUUUUUUUGUCCAUCCUUUCUUAAACAUCUUGAAAUAACUGAUGCUAAUUAAUAAUAAACUUUUGGCUAGCAAAAAAAAUCAAAUUUUCUAAUUAUCGCUUAAAUAUUUUAUUAAUAUUGUCUAAGAAACUUUCAAGUGAUAUCAUAGUUUAAUUUUUAUUAGUUUUUUUUUUGUUAAUUUUUAGACUUUUUUGUAUUUAAGAUUUUUUCCAUAUUAAGCUUCUAUUUCUUUCACAGAAUUGAUAUAUAUAUAUGUCAUAAAAAUUACCAUCAAAUCAGUUUUACUUAUUUCUUAUUUUGUUUUUAAUGAAAAUACACUUUUUAAAUAAUUUAAUUUAAAAUAAAAUUAUAUAUUAAUUUGUUGUAUUCUAAGAAUUUGAUUGAUUUAAUUAAUUUGCUUUGUGGAUAACUUAAAAAGUUUUCAUAUGAAUCGGGGAAAGCAAACUUAUGUUGUUAUAUUAUAUUUAUUUUUGUAUAUAGAAUCUAUAUAUAAUGCUAGUGUAAUAAAGAAAGAACAAUUUUUUUUUGUAACUUCAAAAAAAUACAUUAUUACAAUUUGAAAUUAAUCAAAACUGAAUAAAAUGGUAAUUAAAUAUUUGUAAAUCUAAUUGUUUUUUAUCUUGUUUAGUUGGAUUCUCAUGAAAAGAAAUCGAUAGGUUAAACAAAUGUUUCAAAAUUUGUUGUGUUAUUGUUUUGUCUACAAAAUUUAUUGAAUUGAUAUAUUUAAUUAUUGCACCCUUAAAUAAUAUUUUAUUAAGACAUUAAAGAACUAUGUUUUAUGUUGUUUUGUCAAAAUUGUACAAAAAUCUAUGCUUUUUCAUAUUUAUCACGAAAAUUUAUAUGUUAAACUUACUUUUACAAAAUUCUUAACUUUGUCACGAGAAUAAAAUUCUAUGCUUUUUCAUAUUUGUCAAUGUUCUCACACUUUCAAAAAAUAUAUUAGCUUAGUCACUUACUUUUUUUUUUUUACAAAACAAAGUAUCGGAGUCUUGAAAGUUGAAUUCAUAUUAUUGUAACUGUAUAUAAGAGUUUGUGAUUACAUACUUAGUGAUUCUUGUAUAUGUUUCCAAGAAAGUUUCAAUGGCUUAGUUUUUUCGAUUUUUCCCUUUGCAUUGUUUUUUCAUUUUUUACGAAAAAAUAAAUGAGAUGACGUGACAACUUCGGACUCUCUGAUUGAUUGAUUUUCCUAUCAUCCGUGGACACCUUCUUCAUGGCUUAUAUUUGCCUUUUAGUAUUGUAUAUUGAUGUUACAACGUAAUCUUUUAUUUCACAUAAAGUUUUGUUUUCAUACUUACAUAAUACAAGGAAGACAAGAAAAACGUAAUAUAUAUCUUUUAGUCAGCCUUGUUCUUUAGAUAUUUCUCAUCUUUUCAUGUCGACCUAAAAGAUAUUUCUCAUAUAAAUACUCAAACUUGUCGCUUCAAAACGAAGAUACAAAGAUAUUAUUCUUAAGUUCUUAUACGAGACCAUACGAACAACGGUCGAUAAAAGGGCAAAAGCGAAAAAAAUCAAACAAAUGAAAACAUCUCAACAACAACAUCGUUGCGGUUCGACACUAGUACAAACCAUCAAUGCUCCAUUGCCUCUGGUGUGGUCAAUACUACGACGUUUUGACUACCCGCAAGCCUAUAAACAAUUCGUGAAAACGUGCGAUCUAAGCUCCGGCGAUGGAGGAGAAGGCUCUGUCCGUGACGUGACGGUGGUUUCCGGUCUUCCGGCGGGUUACAGCAUAGAGAGGUUAGAUGAGCUAGACGAUGAGUCUCACGUAAUGGCGAUUAGCAUUAUUGGCGGUGACCACCGUCUCCUUAAUUACCGGUCUAAAACGACGGCGUUUGUGGCGGCAGAGGAGGAGGAGAAGACGGUGGUGGUGGAGAGUUAUAUGGUGGAUGUGCCGAAAGGAAAUAGUGUGGAGGAAACAACGUCCUUUGCUGAUACCAUCGUUGGGUUUAAUCUUAAGUCAUUGGCUAAGCUCUCGGAGAAUAUGGCACCCAAGCGAAAAUCGUAGUUCUAAAAUUUGUAGUAGUUAAGUUAUAGUUUUAAAGUUGUAAGAAUUAAAACCCUUAUUCAAGGAGAGUUUAGAACUUUAGAUAGUAAUGUAGCCAUAUCAGAGGGGAAAUAACGAAGGUACUUUGUAUAAUAUUAAUUAAGUACAUGUGUUUUGUGAAAUAACUGAAAAGAAAAUUUAAAGAAAAAGAAAAAGACAACUAUCUAUGUAUGAACGGUACGAGUAAAAAAAUUUUUUUGUCUAUAAUGUUCACGUUGAAAUGAAUGAAGGGUUGAGCCUGAAUUAUUUUCUUUUUGAACAACUGAAUUCAAAUUAGAAAUUAGGGCCAACCCAAUUGGAGUUCAUGUUACACAAUCAGCAGGUCCAUUCUAUUUUUAGGGACAAAGAAAAAGAAACAGAAAGACAAAAAACACGAUAGGGUUUUGAUAUCUAAUAGAACUCAGUGGAAAUUCUUCGGUUUUUCCUUCGAAACGAUAGCUCUGACGAGCUCGAGGGAGUCUUAUCGAAUCCAGACUUUAGUGUAUCCAAGGUGAAUCGCGUGAGAUAAGGCCGAACGGAUCGCCAAUCCCUCUGCGAGGAGUGGUGAUUUCACAUCUGAUUGCACUUGANNNNNNNNNNNNNNNNNNNNNNNNNNNNNNNNNNNNNNNNAGCCAAGUCAUGUUUCCUUUGUUGAUGGAUUCCAAGCAGCGUCCGUGUUACAUAGAACGGUCCCUAUCGGGAUCGCGGGGGUCAAUGAUCGUGUCGGAGCUUUUGUCUGAUCGUUUGUGGGUUUCAAGUCUGAUUGCGCCGAGGACCAUUCCUUAGCACUUACUACCGCCUUUGUGAUCACAAUCAAGGGAGAUGUGUGUCUAUACUCGAAUAGGAGUUGAUUGCGAGCAUUCCAAAUCAUCCAAAUUAUCCAGGAGAAGAUGUCGCCAGUGAUACCCGUUGGUGGUAAGCAAAUCCACUUCGCCGAUUCUUUUAAUGCUUCCAGUAAGGAAGAACAUGACAUAGAGAAGAAGGGCGUGAGAAGAGGAGGUAGGUCCCAGACCUGAGAGGCGAAAGUACAGUAGAGAAAAAGGUGAUCAAUUGAUUUGAUUCCUCCGCAGAAAGCACAGCUCGUGUUUUGAAUCACUCCGCGUAUUUGGAGAUUGUCUCCAGUGGGUAUAGCUUCAUGUAGGAUUUUUCAAAUAGCUUGAUCUUCGGCAAAUAGCUUGAUCUUCGGCAGCUUAGCGUUGUUCCAGAUGUAUUUAUUCAAGUCCAGAGUUGAUAUCGCAUUUGGUAGUGUUGGUCGGAGGUGUGAUUUGGCCACAGCCAUAGCCAAACAUAUGAAUCAGAUGCUCCAGUGAUACUUGGUCUGAUGAUCAUGAUCUCCUCCGCUACCGGCCUGAAUUAUUAUUAUAUUAAAUAAAACUCGGAAUAAUGGUGUGAUUUAUAUGAUGACAUAAUCGAUAAUUUGACCACUGUUAAAAACAAAAUCCCAUACAAUUUUAGGGAUUAUAUCAUGUGUUUGUUUUUAAAACAAUUAUCAUGUGUUGUUUAAUAUCUUUUGUUUAUCUGUAUAUAUUUCAGAACUUAGUUGCCUAUUGAAGUGAAUUAUACUUGGCAUCUAGUCGACAGGCAACAAUUACUGUUUAGAUUUUAGAAGGACAAAUGUUAGAUUUUGUGGCGUUUAUUGUGCGUCACGUAACGGAGUAAAGGGCCUUGUUAUAUUCUGGGGCAUUCUAUUUUUUUUUUCUUUUGUAAAAAGGGCCAUUCUAUAUUUGAGAAAUUUUCUAGAAUGAUUCUAAUUUUUUUUAUUAUAAUAUAUAGUUUUCAAAGAUCAAUAUGAUUAAAAAAAUUAUUAAAAGGUAAUAGACAUAUAUAUAUAUAUAUAGUCACACGAUUAACUAAUAUACAUUUACAGUUUAAAUUUGAGAGGUAGGAUGAAGUAUAAGAUUUAAAAAAAUAAAAAUAAAUUUAAUCAAAAAAUUUAAAAUAGUUUCAGCAAACAGUUUUUGAAUUUCAAAAUAAAAUUUGAAAAGUUUGAAUUCAAAAAUAUAUUAUUCAAAAAUAAUAAAAAUUAUUCUUUUAUUUUUUAUUUGAUUAUUUUUAUUAUUUAUUUAAAUAAUUAUAUAUAUAUAUAUUUAAAUAUCUAUAAAAUAAAAGUAGAAGAAUCUUUUAUCUGAAUUUUUUUGGUCAUUUUCUUCUCAUGUACUUGUUUAGUGAAAAACCCUAAAACGUCAUUUAAAAGAAUUGCCUUCUUUUUUUUGGCAUCAAAAAAGAAUUGCCUUCUAUAUUUUGUUAAUUUGGCUCUUUUCAUUUCUGUUUUUUUUUUUCAUUCUGUUCUGCCUUAUCCCCGUUUGGUGUGUGUUUUGUUUGAUCGGUGGUCCGUAGGAAUCGCUGACACAUGCUCAAUUACCAACGAGCCACUUGCAGCCAUCACUUGCUUUUCAUUCUGCCUAGCACGCACACUUUUGUAAUCUUACAACUUAUAUUUGGAAAACUAUAAUAUAUAUAUUUUUUUAGGUAGAAAAUAAAAUAUUUUUAAAAAUGAUCACUUGUGAAUUUUUUUUACUAAAGAUAAAGUAAAUAAAAGUGUUAGUUUAUAUUUGGAAUAACACUGCUCACAUUUUAAUAAUUAGUGUAAUAUAUAAUGUACGAUUGAAAACACUUUUACUCAAUAUAAAUAUAGUGUUUAAAGAGAAAAGUAGAAUACCAUCAUCAUACAUGCUUUUGAUAGACAUAUUACCUUUUAUGAGUAAGGAUGGAGUAAGGAUGGACGUUCCUCGAUAUCUAAGAAAAUUAUUGGAGGUUAUGGAUAAUGAUAACAUAUUGUAUUGAGAUAAUGAUGUAUUUAGAGAUAGGAGUUAUCUCUAACCAAAGUCGGUUAUGAGAAGUUGUAUAUAUACUUUCAUACGUAAAUGAAUAAACUCAAACAGUUCUAUUAGAUUUACAUGGUAUCAGAGCAAAAAUCAUUAUAAGAAAUUGCUUCUGAUUAAUCAAACUAAGAAGUCAUGAGUGACAACGAAGAAAUGAAGCAAGUGGCUGUGAAACAGAGUGCGGCGAAAGUGAUAUCACCUUAUUCUUUGUUUUCAUCAGAUAAUCCUGGUGCGUUGAUAACAUCGGUUCAGCUGAAGGGGGAUAAUUACAACGAAUGGGCCAUGGAGAUGGAGAAUGCUCUUCGAGCAAAGAAGAAAAUAGGGUUCAUCGAUGGAACUCUAUCCAAACCGGCAGAAGUUCAUUCUGAUUUGGAAUCGUGGCUUAGUGUUAACUCGAUGAUAGUUGGGUGGAUUAGAUCUUCUAUGGAACCAAGGGUCAGAUCAACCGUAACAUUCAUCACGGAGGCUCACAAAUUGUGGGAAAACUUGAAGAAACGAUUUGAAGUGGGGAACAAGGUUCGAGUUCACCAACUGAUGGAGCAGUUGGCUUCGUGUAGGCAAAACAGUCAACCAGUGAUUGACUACUAUGGUCGCUUGGCCAUGAUGUGGGAGGAGCUGCAGACAUAUACGCCACCACCAGCGUGCAGUUGCUCAGCGGCUGCCGUGUAUGAGAAGGAACGUGAAGAUGAGAGAGUUCAUCAGUUUAUCAUGGGUUUGGAUGAAGUGCGAUUUGGUAAUGUCGUGACAGCAAUCAUUGAGGCUGACGAUAUGCCAGAUCUUGGUAAAGUUUAUGCUAAAGUUAUCAGAGAGGAGGCUAGGUUAAACUCAGCUAAGUCUCGGGAGAUCGUGCAGCAAGAAGUUGUUGGUUUCGUGUCUCGCAAGGAAGUGCUAGGAGAAACACGAGAUUCCUUUUCGUCUGGUUUUGGUGCGAAAACAGAGAACUCAAAUGGUGGAUAUGGAACCAGAGCAAGGGACCGUCUGUGUUCUAACUGUGGCAAGACGGGCCAUGAUAAAAGUAAUUGUUGGCAGAUCAUUGGCUAUCUGGAAUGGAUGAAUGAGAAGCGUGGACGAGGAGGUUCGGGUAGAGGUCGUGGUGGUAACGCAGGGCCAGGAAGAGGAGGAAGUGGCCGCGGUACAUCACAUGCUGCUCAUGCAACGAGCUCGCAAGGAGCAGGAUCGUCUGAUCUCACGCCUGAACAAUGGAGAACAAUUUCUCAGAUUAUAAAUGAUGGGAAAUCAAGUGCGCAAUCAGAGAAGUUAUCUGGUAAGAAUAUUGGAGAUGUGAUUAUAGACUUGGGGGCUUCUCAUCACAUGACAGGAGAUUUGAGUCUUCUUGUGAAUGUGAAAGAAACUCUACCGUGUGUUGUUGGGUUUGCAGAUGGAAGAACCUCAACUUCGGUACAUAUGGGUGAUAUGAUUCUAACAAAUCGUAUUUCCCUCAAGGAUGUGUUGUUUGUGCCAAAGUUGGAUUGUAGCUUGAUUUCGGUUUCCAAGCUGUUGAAACAUUCCAAUUGCUUUGCCUUAUUUACGGAUACUAUUUGUGUAUUGCAGGACCGUUCUUCGAAGACUCUGAUUGGAGCAGGUGAGGAACGUGGUGGGGUUUAUUUCUUCAGGGAUGUGAGAGUUGCAGAGGCUAACUGAGCUGUAACAAGUGAUGAUCAGCUUCUAUGGCAUAGGCGACUUGGGCAUCCAGCUUUCUCGAUUUCAUCUUCUUUAUCUACUUUGUCUAGUGUUUUAAAUAAAUCUAGCUCUAGUCCUUGUGACGUGUGUUUUAGAGCAAAGCAAACCAGAGAUGUUUUCAGUGAUAGUAUUAAUAAACAAGCAAGUGUUUUGAGCUUAUACAUGUCGACGUGUGGGGACCUUACCGUGUACCUUCCUCUUGUGGAGCUGUGUAUUUUCUUACUGUGGUGGAUGAUUUUUCAAGAGCCGUAUGGACUUAUUUACUACUUGCGAAAUCAGAAGUAAAGAGAGUAAUGCAGAGGUUUUGUGCUUAUGCUGCGAAACAAUUCGGUAAAGAAGUUGAGAUAGUCAGAAGUGACAAUGGGAUGGAGUUCAUGUGUUUAGAAGAGUAUUUUCGAGACAAUGGCAUUGUUCAUUAGACAAGUUGUGUUGCUACACCACAGCAAAAUGGGCCUGUGGAAAGGAAGCAUAGACAUAUAUUGAAUGUUGCAAGGUCGCUCUUGUUUCAAUCAAAUUUGCCAGUCAAGUUUUGGGGAGAGGCAAUUUCAACAGCGACACACGUUAUCAACAUGACUCCAUCUGUGGUGUUAAAAGGGAAAUCACCGUAUGAGGUGUUAUUUGGCAAGAAGCCGUCAUAUGAUACGUUGAGAGUCUUUGGGUCGUUGUGUUAUGUUCAUCGACGAGAUAGGAGUAAGGACAAAUUUGGAGAAAGGAGCAGAAAGUGUGUCUUUGUGGGCUAUCCUUUUGGCAAGAAAGCUUGGAGGGUCUAUGACAUUGAGAAGAAUGAGUUUCUGGUGUCACGUGACGUGAGUUUUAUUGAGGACGUGUUUCCUUUCAGUGAGAUGAGUGGAGAUGCGGUUCAUCAAAUUGAGUUAACAGGAGGAUCUGACGGUGACUGGACGAUAGAAACGAUCGUAGUUGACAGGGGGAGUACCUCUCAGGCAAUGGAUGAGUCUAUUACUCCAGUUGACAAUAGUUUCGAAGCAGAAACAACAUUCACAAAGAAUAUCCAGGAAGAGAAUGUGGCUGAUGUCGAAGUUCAGAAGCAGAGUACUGAACAGAGCAGUGAUGAGAGUGUAGAAGGCGAUGGUAGUGUGGGAGUGAGUCCAGCAGUGAUAGUAGAACCAGAGAUGGGUAGAGGACACAGAGAGAAAAUUCCCUCGGUUAAACUGCGUGACUACGUGAACUACAAUGCGAGAUGCAUUAAAGAAGAACCCCAUCACGCUGCGCUCACUGCACAAUCAGAGUCCUCGUCGGUCCAAGGUAAAACACCAUACCCUCUUCAGAAUUAUAUCUCUGAUGAAAGGUUUUCUCCAGCUCAUAAGACAUUCUUGGCCGCGAUCACAAGUGGAGAAGAGCCAAGGAGUUAUAAGGAGGCAGUUCAACAAGAAAUAUGGAGAAACUCAAUGAAAGAUGAGAUUGGUGCGUUUGAGCUGAAUAAGACUUUCAUCAUUGUUGAUUUGCCUCCUGGAAAGAAAGCUAUUGGCAACAUGUGGGUGUAUAAGUCAAGUACAAUGCUGAUGGUACAGUAGGGAGGCCUAAAUCAAGGUUGGUUGCCUUGGGGAACAGACAAGUGAAAGGAAGAGAUUUUAAACAGACGUUUGCACCCGUCGCUAAGAUGACAACAGUGAGAAGUUUAUUGCGCGUUGUAGCAGGAAAGGGCUGGAUUGUUCAUCAGAUGGAUGUUCACAAUGCAUUCUUACACGGGGAUCUAACAGAAGAAGUUUACAUGAGGCUUCCUCAAGGAUUUAAAACAGAUGAUCCUAACAAGGUUUGUAGACUUCACAAAGCUAUUUAUGGGUUGCGGCAAGCACCGAGGUGCUGGUUCUCUAAACUCACGGAUGCCUUAAAGCGGUUUGGAUUUAAGCAUUUGUAUGCUGACUACUCAUUAUUUGUGUACAAGAAGAAAGGAAUGGAGCUCAAGGUACUCAUCUAUGUUGACGAUUUGUUGGUGUGUGGGAAUGACUUGGACUUUGUGUCUAGGUUUAAAGGGUACUUGAGCCGAUGCUUUAAAAUGAAAGAUUUGGGAAAGCUGAAAUAUUUUCUUGGAAUAGAAGUAGGGCGUGGUGAAGAAGGCUUCAUGCUCACACAAAGGAAGUAUGCGCUAGACUUGAUCUCAGAUGUUGGAUUAUUGGGGGCUAAGCCAGCAGCCACACCAAUGGAGCAGCAUCACAAAUUGGCUUUGGAUACAAGUCCGUUUAUGAGGGAUGCUGAGAAGUAUAGAAGAUUAGUUGGUCGGCUAGUCUACUUGUCGAUUACCAGACUGGAUAUUUCGUAUUCAGUACAUAUAUUAUCACAGUUCAUGAAAACUCCACGACAGGUGCAAUGGGAUGCGGCGCUAAGGGUGGUUCGUUAUCUCAAGGGUACAGCGGGGCAAGGUAUUAUGCUGAGUUCCAAACUCGACCUCAGUUUGUCAGUGUUCUGUGAUGCAGAUUGAUCAGCUUGUCCGACCACUAGAAGAUCUUUAAGUGCAUAUGUGGCGUUGGUUGGUGAUUCUCCGGUUUCUUGGAAGACAAAGAAGCAGGGAGUGGUCUCACAUUCUUCAGCAGAAGCUGAAUAUAGAUCCAUGGCUCAGGCAACAAGAGAGAUCAAGUGGCUUCGAAGGUUGUUGGUGGACUUAGGAGCUCCGCAAAUGAGACCUUCGAAACUGUUUUGUGACAGUAAGUCUGCGAUUUAUAUUGCAGCUAAUCCAGUGUUCCAUGAAAGGGCUAAACAUAUUGAGUCAUAUUGUCAUCAAGUGAGAGAUGCUAUUCAAGAUAGAGUGUUGGAGACAGUGCAUGUACGAACAACACAACAGCUAGCGGAUGUGUUAACAAAGGCGUUGGGGAGAGUUCAGUUCGAAAAUUUGCUGUUCAAGUUGGGUGUUAGAAACUUUCAUAUUCCCAACUUGAGGGGGAGUAUUGGAGGUUGUGGAUAAUGAUAACAUAUUAUGUAAUGAGAUAAUGAUGUAUUUAGAGAUAGGAGUUAUCUCUAACCAAAGUCGGUUAUGAGAAGUUGUAUAUAUACUUUCAUACGUAAAUGAAUAAACUCAAACAGUUCUAUUAGAUUUACAAAAAUUAUCACGUAAAAUAUAUACAUAAAUUUUCUAUGAAUUUAUAUUCAUUAAAUUAUAUAUCAAUAAAUUUUAUCAUUUAAACCGAACCAUAAUAAAAUAGACAAAAUUUGAUAAAAUUGUAUAACAAAAACAAUUUUUUCACUUAAAUACAUACUGUUAUUAGUAUCAUUAAUUAAUAGCUAUAUAAACUUAUGCACAUAAAAUUAGUACAUGAUAUACUAAAAACAAAUUAGUACAUGAUAUAUUAAAUAUAAUUCUAGUGUUGUUCUUUAUUAAUAAUUAAAACGCGUUAAUUCUAUUUUUAUUAACUAUCAUAUCAAAUAAAUAAUUUUGUUCUAUAUGAAUUUUGAAUUUGUGAAAAAAUUAAACGUGAUAAUUUUUUUUGUGUAUAAACUAUUUUAUUGGGCUAAAAGUUACAAGCCUCUCUUAAACCCCAACUAAUAAUUGAUCUGAUGAAAUUCUGGCUAAUUCUUAAUCAAGCCCAACAAAUCCCAACAAUUCUUACCAAGAGGAAAAGGCCGAACAGAUGAAACAUCAAAUUCAGUAAGUCACUCUUGGCGAUUCCAACUAGUAGCACCAGUAUUUAAUAUUUUAAUUAUCCAAUUAAACCAUAAAUUACUCUAUCGAGAAAAUAACUAAGGUUGAUUAAAAAGUGGUUCUCUCUCUCUUCUCUCUACAAAAUCUUUUAGAGAGAGAGAGAGUACUUAUGGUUUGUCGUCGGAUUUCAUUAUCGGCGUUGGUUGGUCGCCGGAUUUCAUUAUCGGCGUUGGUCUCCCGCGUGGUCGGGCUCUGCCUCUGGCAAACGAUGGCUCCUAUAGCACCGUUUGGCCGGCUUUGUCUGUAGCGUCACCUCGUUCUUCUACGGUGGUGUUGUCUAGCAUCAGUCCCGGUUUUUUUCCGGUGAUCUUCUACUCAAUAGCUUCUCUACUACUCUCUACUAGUUUCAGUUCGGUCAAUCAUCAUUUGGAUUUCUCUUCUUUUCUUUCUUCAUCCGUCUCGGUGUUGAAAGUACAAGAUCUGAUGUCCGAUGUUCUUUGAUUGAUUUGCGAGAUCGAGAUUGAGACUUGUUUAUCAUUCCAUGGAUUGAAGCGUUAAUUUUUUGUUAAUGAUAUGCCGGCUUUGGUUUUCUGGUGAUGUUUGGCUGCUCCGAUUUGGUCUCAUCCAUCAGCUUGUUGAAGUUUUGCGGUUGUCCGGUGGUGUCGGGGUUACGCCGACGAUCUGUGAGUCGACGUGUUUGGGCGGUGGGAUUUGUCCUUUUCUUGGCACGUGUCUUCUUUCCUGCUACAUGAGUGUACACGUGUUCUCAAGAGUAAUGAUUUGUCUUUUCCUUCCGCCUUGAAAGGCUUGGUCUGGGCCUAAGCGUUAUUUAAUAUUUAUGAGGCUUUGUUCAAUGGAGUUAAUCUUUUUAGAGGUUUGAUGGUGUAGCGGAGGUUCGUUUAGCAUCGGUUCACCGGCUUUGUUCCAUCGCUGCUCUCCUCUCUCUUUUAGUUUGGCCUAGGUUCAUGGUUCUUCUUUUCUGCUUUGAUGUUUUGAGUUCUCAGGUUGGUGAGUUUGGCCAGGUUUCGUUCGGGGCUUCGUCUUUCUGACGUGUUAUUGCUGCGACGCAUCUACUAGCUCUUUUCUAAGACUGUUGGGUCGGGUUCAUGACGUCGCAAUGGUCUUGAUUUUCAGGUCUUCUCUUGCGAGGAGGUACCCGGUCUUUAGUCUGUAGAUACUGGGACUGGUGUGCGAGUGUCCGCGUGUAAGAGCUGAAGGUCUUGGUUGGCGUUUUUCCCUGUCGGAGAUCAAGGUUCCUAUCCUUGUGCUUGGGCUUUCUUAUCGGCAUUGUCUUCUCGGUUUGGUGAUGCAGUGGAGUUUCUAUCAAUGUUCUUCGUUACUCUUGUGAUCAUCUCUGCUAGAAUUGUGAUUGGUUGAGUUAGUUUUGUCUCCUACUUCGCUUGGUAGCAGUUUGGAUCUUCUCGAGCUCAUUGUUUCUCAGUCCUUUUCUGGCUUCACCUUUGUUCGUAUGGAGUGGUUUUGAGAGUGGUUUUGGACAGUGGAUUUGAUUGAACUCUUUGAAUCAUGGCUUAUCCAUUGAGUUGUUUGGACCUUGCUUGUACGUUUGUAGUGUAAGUCUUAGUUGACUUUUAGUCUCUCAUCUUUGGGCUUUUGUCUCCGGAAAGAUACUUUGCAGGUUUGUCUCCUUUAUAUCUUUGGGUUUUGUCUUUGUUAUAUUUCUCUUUGUUUAACUCAGUUGGCUAAUAAAAUUCAGACGACAAAAAAAAAAAAAACUAAGGUUGAUUAAUAAAAUAAGAAUAAAUCCAAAAAGGUCGUGGCUGGCAUGUACUACUGUUAAGUAUUUUUCACGUAACUGUGUUCACUAUAUAUGCCAGGUCACUAAACUUCUAACCGUUGGUCACCACACUAAGGAGUAAUCCAACGGUGCCAAUUAAUUGACUUCCUGAAUCCUAUGAGCCUCUGGCACGUUGUCCCAAGUCAACGUUUGAUAAAAUGAAAAUAAAAUAGUUCCAAAAUGUAUAAUUUUGAAGAUAGUGGGACCCAUAUCAACCAUAAUAGAUCUUUGUUAAUUAUCUAGUAAUCUUUCCCGGCAUAUAUAUGUUUACUUGAUCAACGGGGAGGAACAAACGCAAAAAUGAAUGAUUUAUUGUUUUUCUAAUGGAAACAUGAUGUCAGUAAUUGUAUUUAUGAGUUCAUACAUUUUUAUAAUUAUGAAAAACCUAAAGCAAGUUAAUAGGACUUACUCAUUAAAGGAAAAUUUCAAGAAGAAGAAAAAAACAGAGGCAGUUUUGUGGGGGAAAAUUGUUAAAAAAGAAAUAGAAAAUAGGAAAAAAAAAGAUUUCAGAGAGAGAGAAGAAGAGAAAGGAAAGGGGGAGGAAGAAGAGAGAGAACCCACCACCCUUUGGCCCUGGAGAGACCAAAGAUGGUCGAAGAGAGAAAACUCUGAGAUCAUCAUCAUCAUUCUGCAAAAACGAGGGCAAGUUCAAGAACAAACAAUACAAUAUAAUUCAAUAUCUAUUAAAUUAAAUUCUACCUUUUUUAAGUUUUUUUAAGAAAUCAUUUUCGCUUUGUGGGGGUAUUUACUAGUUGUUGAUUUCUCAAACCCUAGCAUUUCUUGGUUAAGAAGUUUCUUCUUUAAGGUAAAUUUGUUUUCUGAUUAUUUGUUUGGUUUUGUGUACGUAAUCUGUAAUGUUUUGGAACUUUUUGUGGGUUCCAUGUUUUCGUCACAUUGCUUCUUCAAGAGGGUUAUUCUUAUUCCUUUUCUAAAAAUAAUUAUUGUUUCAUACUUUUUGUUCAAGUUUUUAUUUAUGCUUCUUGUUGGCUUUUUUCCAGGUAUUAAAAAGAUUGAAGAGAAGAAGAGAAUUUCACGAGUUUUUAAUUUUUAUUGAAAUAAACACUUCUUUGAUGAUUAGGGUUUCGUGCAAACAAUGAGAGACCCUCAUUAUUCAAUCAUCAACCUCGUCGUUCUCCUCUUCCCGAGGAUUCUGUAAAGUUUGGAAUAUUUUUAUUAUUCCUUUAUUUGUUCAUUAGGAAAAAAAAGUCUGGCUAUUUUGUAUAAGCUAAAAUGGGUUGUCGAUGGAAUCCUAUUGGAUUUCAAUUCUCUUGCUUCAUGUUCUUGAUCAUUACCCUUCAGUCUCGUUCCUCGUUAUCCCUCAACUCCGAAGGUAAUUCUCAAUAUAUUAACAAUUUUGUCUUCUUUUUGAAUUUUUGUUGAAGGGUUUUACAAAUGCUGUAGGAUUUGUGCUGUUGAAAUUCCUGGAAAGAGNNNNNNNNNNNNNNNNNNNNNNNNNNNNNNNNNNNNNNNNNNNNNNNNNNNNNNNNNNNNNNNNNNNNNNNNNNNGAAAGAGUGGACUCUGAUCCUCACGGAACUCUUGCGAAUUGGAAUGUUUCUGAUGAUCAUAUGUGUUCUUGGUUUGGUGUAACGUGUGUCGACAAUAAAGUCCAGAUGGUGUAAGUUCCUGUUUUCUUAUAUUAUGUCUUUGUGAUUCUUAUCGCAAUUUUUGAUGUAUAUUUUUGUUUUGUUAUGUAGGAAUCUUAGUGGAUGCUCUUUGGGAGGAACUUUAGCUCCUGAGUUUAGUCAAUUAAGUGAAUUAACAUCUCUGUAAGGGGUUAUUUUUAACUUACCUUUUGCUCUGUUUCUUGAAAAAAAUAUGAGAACAAGAAACUAAUUCUUGUUUUUUUUUUUAUAGAGUACUAUCCAAGAACAAUCUCUUUGGUGACAUUCCAAAUGAAUUUGGGACUUUUCCAAAACUGAAGUUGUUGGAUUUACGAGAUAAUAAGCUAAGCGGAGUAGUUCCACCUGAGCUAAACAAAAUGUUGACACCAGAGAACUUGUGAGUUAAAGGAUUUAUUAAACCAAACCAAUGUGUUUUGACAAAACAAAAUAACGUUGGCUUUUUUUGGUGGAUUCAGGCUGCUUUCUGGUAACAAAUUUGCGGGAUUUAUGAAGAUAAAGUUCCUGAGACUUCAAUCGCUAUAUCAAGUCCAGUUAAACAAGCAUAAAGAGCUGUCUUCUGCUUCCAAUGCUGUCUUCGACUGCGUCAAUAGAAAACUUGGAUACUGGUAAUCACCUUUUUUGCAUUAGAUAUGUUAAGGUGGUAAAAUAUUUGAACAAUGUUCUUACAUUUUUUUAUCCAUUUUAAAAAAGUGUUUCAAGGAGAAGAUUGUUAAGACUAAACAAAGCACAAGCUUUCGUAUUGCGGAUUAAAGCAACUUCAAGAAUGUACAUAAAAGCUUUUUUUUUUUCUUUUUUCAAAAUAUAAAUUCAUUUUGGUUACAUUUGUAUUUUUAUCCUUAGUGUUACUGAUUUCUAUGUUUAUGUCUCUUCAGGCUUCAAAGGGAACCUCAAGGGGAGAACUAUGACAUGAAUUAUCCCCCAAGUAAGCACAUAAAAAAAACGGUUGAAACAUGAAACCGUAUACAAACUAACAGUGUUCCUUUUUGUAGGUUCUUUACAGAAUGAAAGUAGUGUCCUCAGGAGGCGUGAGUUACUAGAGGGAACAAGUAAUUUAGCAGCUAUGCCUGCACCAGAUGCUCCUAGUCCUUCUCCUGACACUAUAACCAUAGUGUUUCCUCGAAGCAGCGGGUCUUUUCCCGCGUUAACCACUGCAAAGAAGAGGAUACCUCCAUUGAUCCCUCCUUCUCUUCCUCCAACAGCUGAGUACAACAACAAUACAAGCUCUGACCCUCCAAGGCAAUUUGAAGAAGAAACAAAAGGGUCUACUGCUGUUUGGUUGUAUGUUGUUAUCGGCGUUGCUGCUUUUGUAGCGGUGUUGAUAGUGAUAGGGGUUAUAUUCUUCUGCCGGAAAAGAGCUGUCAAGAGUAUAGGUCCAUGGAAAACUGGUUUAAGUGGACAGUUGCAGAAAGCUUUUGUUACUGGUAAGAAAAAUGGUCUUAAAUUCUUUUUAUUUGGUUCUGUUUCCGGUUUGACAUAAUGUGAGAAAAUGUUUUUUCAGGUGUACCGAAGUUAAACCGGUCUGAACUAGAAACAGCUUGUGAAGAUUUCAGUAAUAUUAUUGAAGCAUUUGAUGGGUACACUGUCUAUAAAGGAACAUUGUCAAGUGGUGUUGAGAUUGCUGUUGCUUCAACCGCUGUUUUGGAAACUAGAGAAUGGACGAGAGCUAUGGAAAUGACUUACCGCAGAAAGGUAACUCUAAAGAUUCAUUACUUUCGCAUUUUUUUGUAGGAUAUUGAAUUGACUUUUGGAGAACUCAAAUUUUCAGAUUGAUACAAUGUCAAGAGUCAACCAUAAGAACUUUAUCAAUCUAAUUGGAUACUGUGAAGAAGCUGAACCAUUUAAUAGGAUGAUGGUUUUUGAAUAUGCUCCAAAUGGAACUCUUUUCGAACAUUUGCACGGUAAUAAACAUCUUAGUAUGUCUCCAUAUCAAGAUUAUUUUAAUUUAUUAUUAUUAUCAUAAACCUCUAUCUUCAUUGUCAUCUUGUUCAGAUAAGGAAAUGGAGCAUCUUGAUUGGAGCGCGAGGAUGAGGAUAAUAAUGGGAACUGCUUAUUGUCUGCAAUAUAUGCACGAGCUUAAUCCACCAAUCGCGCAUUCUAAACUAGUCUCAUCAAGAAUCUACUUAACCGAUGAUUACGCAGCCAAGGUUGCUUGCUCUACAAGAAAACUGCAUUGAUGAUUUUUGUUUUCUUGCGUGACAGGAAAACUAUUUCAAUGGUGAUAUUAAUUCAUGACCUAAUAAAGACUUUUUUUCUUUGCAGGUCGGAGAGGUUGCUUUCAGUUCACAGACAGGGCUAAAAUCGAGAAAACCGAUGAGUGGUGAUUUAGAUCAAUCUUCAUUGCCAUUACCAGCUGAACCAGAGACUAAUGUCUAUAGCUUUGGAGUAUUAAUGCUCGAGAUUAUCUCCGGAAGGCUCUCCGAAUCAGAUGAAGAAGGAUCAAUUCUGAAAUGGGUAACACUAAAAAUUCAAAAUAAAAUCCAUUUUCUGAAAUUUACAUUACUAAUGUAACACUUUUUUUUUAUGUUUUCUCAUAGGCAUCAAAGUAUCUGGAGAGUGAUCAUUUGAAAGAUAUGAUUGAUCCUACAUUAACAACGUUUAAAGAAGAGGACCUUGAAGUGAUCUGUGAUGUGGCAAGGCAUUGUCUGAGAAAUGACCAAAGUCAACGACCAACGAUGAAAGAUGUUGUUGAACAACUGAAACAAGUAAUCAACAUUUCCCCAGAACAAGCUACACCGAGACUCUCUCCUCUUUGGUGGGCAGAACUUGAGAUCUUAUCCUCUGAAGCUACUUAACCUCUCUCUCUCUCUCUCUCUCUCUCUCUCUCUCUCUCUCUCUCAGUUACGACUCGUGUCAGAGGUUCACGCUCCUUCUCACUCUCACUCUUCCCGGUGGACGUCGUCGUGUAAAAGUUGUUCUUUUAUUUAAUUCAUCAUAUUAAAUUUGUUUCUUGGUUGGUUUUGAUAGUGUAUUUGGAUCCAGAUAAUGUAACGAUGUGUUUGUAAAAUUAUAUACUAUCAUACAUAUACCUAUAUAUUUGUACGUAUUUUGUGGUGAAAAGUUGUUUGAAACUAUUAACCUCAGCUUUUUAAAACCAUUAUGUGAUAUUUUGUCGUUUUUAUGCAGAGUCUGUUCAUUCUUCGGCGCGGAGGGGGGGGGGGAGGGGACGGCUUUCGGUUGAUUUGGAUUUUUGGUAUUCUGCUCAUAAGUUCCAUUCAGGUUUUACUAAUUAUCGGGUUGGGUUCGAUUAGGUUACUUUUGGGUUUAGUUCGGAUUGGAUUGUAACCAAUGUCUGAAAUUACCUAAAAUUAUAUUUUUUUUUUAACUUGGAUUGGAACGAGACUGACCGACAGACAUAUUAACGUCGACUCAAGAUGUAAGAGAUGUGGAGAACCUGAAUCUAUAACUCAUCUUCUGUUCCACUGCCAGUUUGCGAAAGAUGUGUGGCUUGCUGCUCCUUUCAAUCCUGGUUUUGUGAUAAGAUCAUAACAAGAGUCAUGGCAUCGUGGGAUCAUCUCCACUAGUAUACCAUGUUCUAUAUUAGUUUAGUGGACAGUUAUUUAGUUGACAUGUUCUUGUGUAUUUAAGUUACGUAUGUUUUGUUUAAUGGGAUAUGAAAAAGAAAAUUGACGUAAAUAGUUUCUUAAGUCUUUGGGUUCCAUCAUUUUGGUAUCAGAGCACUUCUAUCCUGCGAUUUCGCGUCACCGAUUUGAUCCGGACCACUUAACUGUGGUAUCAAAUCACUUUCACCCACAAAAAAAAAAAAAAAAAAAAGUUUUAACAACCUUNNNNNNNNNNNNNNNNNNNNNNNNNNNNNNNNNNNNNACCCUUUCCCCCCAAAAAAAAAAAAAAAAAAAAUGUUUCAGCAGCUUCAUGAUUGUGAAGAUUAUUACGAUCACGUCUACUCUGUUCGCGAGCCUUUGUAUGACGUAUACGAUGAAGAUGUUGUGAUGGGCUUCCAUGAAGUGCAAACUGAAAUGCUCCGGAAAGUUCAUGACGAGCUCCAAAAGAUGAAAGUUUGUAUAGCGGAUAGUGUCAAGCGUCUCGAGAAGACCGUUAAUCAUAUGGUGGAGUUGGUGAAAGAUAUGAGAUCUAGUGAAGAAAAAGCUAGUGAUGGUAACGUUCAACAACCUUCUCAAAGAUGUGUAUCAGUUACGCAAUCGGCGAACUCAACGCUAAAACGUGGACGACCUCGAACGGUUCCGUUCCGCAAAUGUCAAACUUCACAUGUUGGCAAACCAAGAAAUAUUAGCCCAAUAACGUACAGAGAAGGUCUUGUCUCUACACGGACUCAAAAACAAGGUACACUACCUCAAGCACCUUCCAUGCGAUGGAGAUUCCAAGUUUCAGCCUAUGCUCUAGAUGGUGCAAUGGAAAAAAAUUCUUUUGGUGGGGAAGGUGGUAAAGGAAACCAUCCAUUUGAUCGUGGAAAAGUUAGGAUCAUGGAGAAGCUGUUCUCAAAGAUUGGUAUGAACUUUGGGGACAAAGUUCUUUUAGAGGGUGGAGUAUUGAUAAGAUCAUAACAAGAGUCAUGGCAUCGUGGGAUCAUCUCCACUAGUAUACCAUGUUCUAUAUUAGUUUAGUGGACAGUUAUUUAGUUGACAUAUUCUUGUGUAUUUAAGUUACGUAUGUUUUGUUUAAUGGGAUAUGAAAAAGAAAAUUGACGUAAAUAGUUUCUUAAGUCUUUGGGUUCCAUCAUUUUGACAGUAGCGGAAUUAUAGAUAUAAUGGAAUGCUGUGAACAUUUGAAGAAGCUCACCUGCUUACCCCGACAGGGCUAAUCACGGGAAACCUCCCCUCCUGGAUCCUCUGGUCGCUUUGGAUAGCUCGCAACAACCUCUUGUUCAAUAACAGAACCUCGAAGCCGGAAGAUAUCCUUACUAAAGCGAUUGCAAGGACAAGAGAAUGGCAGAAUGGACAAGCGAAGACACAACUACAAAAAAGGACUCUAGUCCCAACAAGAACAAGGGAAGAGAGAGUAAAAUGCAGGACAGAUGCGGCUUGGAAAGCUACAGGAAGUAUCGCUGGUCUCGGGUGGAACAUCAUUGAUGGAAGCAUGCCUCUUAGUUUCUCUACCUUUGAUUUGAAUGUCCAAUCUCCCCUGGUUGCGGAGAGCAUUGCAAUGAGAGAAGCUAUGGCAAAAUGCAUUGAACUGGGUUUGGACUCUGCCUGCUUUGAAUCUGAUUCAUCUCAGCUGAUAUAUGCCAUAAAUUAGUUGAAGAUCCCGCUGGAAGUUUAUGGAGUUGUCUCAGACAUCAUCCUCCUAUCCUCUAGAUUUAUCUCUGUUUCUUUUUAUUGGAUAAGCCGUGAUGUUAAUACAGUUGCUGACACCUUAGCGAAACAAUGUUUGGUGGUUGCUGAGGCUUUUAUGGCCGAGACCUAACUUCGAUGAAUGAAUGAAUUAGUUUGUGUUCAAAAAAAAAAACUUGAAAAUUGACAAAAAAAUUCAAAAUGUAUAAAUUAUUCAUAAAAUCUAAUUAAAAAUUAGUUGAACUAUCUAAACUAACUAAAAAGUAUUCAAAGUAAUAAAUAAAACAAACUACACAAAUAUUUAGAAUACUACAAAUUAUCUUAAUUACUUUAACAUAUAUAAAAUCAUUAACAUAUUUAACUAUCGACAUCAUCAGAUCCUAGUUCGGAUUUUGGUUCGGUUUGGGUUAUACCAAAACCUUAAAGUACUGAGCUCAUAAACCCCGUUCAGAUAUUUUGUAUAACGGUUCGGAUAGAUACUUUGGCUUGGGGUAAAAACAUUGAUACCUAGCUUCAAAUGUCAAGAUUCCUCAUGCCGCAUCCAAAGUCGGCACUCUGAAGUAGCUGGUUUCCGAUAAACUCAUCGAAUCGAACUGCACUGAAGUUGUUGUGUGUUUUUUUUUUUGAAUUAAAGUUAAAUUUAUUCAAAAACUUUUCUUUACAUCAAGUGCAACUUUUGUUUAAAGAAUUAAAAAAUCAAAAACUAGCUGUUCUUCUACUCUAUCCUUGUGCCAAACCAGUAUCUUAAGCCACCUUCAUAUCUCAUGUCUCCCAUCAUCACAAUAGAGCUGAAACGGUUUCUGACUCCCUUCUCAAUGAAUUUAACUAGCUGCACUGGUGUAAAUGAGCUUCCCCAUGUCUCCUUUUAUUUCUUUCUCUCCAUAUGCUAUGGACAGUUUCUUGAAAGAGAUACCUGAUAGUAAAGCAACUCAGCAUAUCUCCAUCUGUUUCAGAUAUCAGCCCAAUAAUAUCAGGUCAAUCAUUUGUGUAUCGAUCUCCUAGAAUUGGUCUCAUAAGUUUCUUCCACACCUCAGCUGAGAAGGGGCAAUUGAAAAAAAAGAUGGUCUCGUGUUUCAAUAGGAUCUUGACAUAGGGUACAGCUCCCAUCAACAUUCCCUCCCCAUUGAAGCAAGCGGUCCCCUGUUGCAAGUCGAUUUUUCAGAGCAUACCAAGUCAUGAAAGCAAACUUAGGUGUAGAAUGUCGAAACCACACUCCUUUGCUCCAUUGACACAGUGGCUGUUGAUCUCUGAGUAGCAUCCAAGUGGUUUUUGUUGAAGACCUCUUCUUGUACUUUCCUCCAAUACCUUUCCACAGGCUAACAUCCUCCGCAUUAUCCGCAUUUGCUUUCCUCUCGUCAAUUUCAUCCUCAAUUCUAUUAAGAAUUGUUGUUCUGUGCCUUCUUCUGUGGAACAUCAUAGCUUCUUGAACUGUAGUGUGAGCAGGAAGACCAAGAUCAGUUACUCGCUCUCCUAGAAUAUCUGAGAGACAACCCGAUGAAGACCAAGUUUUAUGCCAAAAAGAUGUAUUCUCUCCAUUUCUAACUUCAACUCGAUGAAAACUUCUUGCCAUCUUCUCAGUUUCAAUCAUUUAGCCCACAUUCAAGAACCAGAUCUUGUUGUUUCACUUAAAGACCAGAAUGACCCUUUCCUUAUGAGAUAUAUCUUGAUCCAUUGAAGCUGUUAUGUUUUUUUUUUUUUUUUUGAACUGAUGAAGCUGUUAUGUUGCUACAAAUAGUUUGCACAAAAAUAUUUCUCUCACUUGGUCAUUUUAUUUUCCUAAAGAAAACAUGAUAGUAUUUACUUGUUUUUGGUAAUAUGGCCGAUUUUUAAUCCUUUCAUGUGACACAGAGUCGAACGUUGAUGCCAUGCCCAUAUCACUGGCAACACCGCGCGCUUCUUUUAAGUUAGUAUAGUCGUGUUUAACUUAUUAGUAAGAUCAAACCUGUUCUCAGAAAACUUAUUAGUAAAGAUCAUAUACGCAAUAUAUAGUUGUUCUCUCAUCUUCUCGAGGAUAUUUUUUUUUUAAUAAAAACAUCUUCUCGAGGAUGAGGUAGAACCGUAGAAGUCGGUCUCUUAUGUGUUAUCGCACGUGGUUGGGCAAAAUCAGAGCAAAUAACGCACGAACCGUUUCGACAUGCGGUGAAGAAGAAAAAGGAAAGACCUUUUUCCAAGAAAAGAAAAAAAAAAAACUAUACGCGUAGGUGACCAAAAACGUAACUUAUGAACAUAUGAUCGUAUUAUCUGUGACCUGAGCCUUCACAGACACAGAUAGAAAACGACAAGCGUCACGUACUCUUGUGUUAAGCACGCCACACGGAAAAAGAGACACGCGUAGCACGUGUCAAUAUUUUGCAUACGUGUCUUGAUUCGCUGCUACAUAUAAAAAUAAAACCAAUUAUAUCGCUGAAAAUUAUUUCUGUUUUUGAGAAAAUAUAAUAUCUAAUUUAUUAAAAUAGAGUCCUAAUUUUUAUCUACUUAAAAUUAUUGUCAUUAAUUUUUGGACUUGAUCAUAUCUCACUAAAGAUAAAUGUACCAUCCUUAACUUUUAGACCUAUUUUCAUUUCCAAUAUUUUUGUUAGUAAGUACCAUAUUUCUGCUGAAGUUUAUUAGUAUACUAAUUAAAAAUAGUAACUACAAUUGAUAUAUGUAUAAAGAUAUUUAUAUUCACAAAAUUGCACUUGUGUAUCUAGGAAUAUGCAAGAUGGAGAGCUAUUUUCUAAACUUUAUUGAUAUACUAUAUAUACUAAUGAUCUUAUAUUUACGGAGAAUGAUUAAUAUGUUUAAAAAUAUUUAUAUACACUAAACUGUAUUUAUAUCAUAAAAGAAUAUAACAUCACGAAACAUCUUUACAAAUUAUUUAUCUAUACUAUGUUAGUAAGAUACUUUCACUUUUUUCAAGAUAUAAAAGUGUCGAUAAUGAAAGUUUUAAAAAAAAUAUUUACAUAAUCAAAACAAUACUAUAAUAUUUAUUUAUUUUAGAAUCUAAUCUAUUAAUUUAGGGUUCUAUUUUUUAUCUACUUACAAAUAAUCUAGGUUGGACAAUUACAUUUAACUAGCUUUAGUAUUAUUUUUACUUAUAUCGAUCUAAUUUAAUUAUUAUUAAAUAUAUGUAUACCCGAACCUAAAAUUAAGGAACGAAAUAACUAAUCUAUUGUUUUUUAAAUAAGAACUCAAUAUCUAUUAACACUACUUUUAAGUAAAUAAUCAAUUAUAUUUUAUUUAUUAAUAUAAAAAGAAUUAUAUAUGCCUACUAACUCAUAUAUACAAUUGUACUUUAAUUCAAAUGCAAGAAAUAAAUUAUUUAAAACUCAGACCAAAUACAUAAUAAUAUAAUUCUUAUAGAUAGANNNNNNNNNNNNNNNNNNNNNNNNNNNNNNNNNNNNNNNNNNNNNNNNNNNNNNNNNNNNNNNNNNNNNNNNNNNNNNNNNNNNNNNNNNNNNNNNNNNNNNNNNNNNNNNNNNNNNNNNNNNNNNNNNNNNNNNNNNNNNNNNNNNNNNNNNNNNNNNNNNNNNNNNNNNNNNNNNNNNNNNNNNNNNNNNNNNNNNNNNNNNNNNNNNNNNNNNNNNNNNNNNNNNNNNNNNNNNNNNNNNNNNNNNNNAUAUUGUUCCAAUUCAGGUUAUAUUAGUUCGGUUCGGAUAUAUCUGAAGUUAAUUCCAAAAUUUUAAAGCAAAACAUAAGAAAUAAACUUAUUUAUAUAGAAUUGGAUAUUUAAGGUACUUAUUGAAAAUUUAAAUACUUAUUUUUUGAUAUAAUUUCAUAAUAAAUAUAGAACUGAAUAUUUUAAGUAUAUAAUUAUGUUUCAAGUAUUUAUAUUUGUGAUUAAUUUGGACUUUCAUAUCGUUUUUUGGAUUUUUUAUGGUUUUUUUUUGUUUUUUUUUUGUUUUUUCGGGUUGCCUGUUCGGGUUCGGCUAAUAACACUUCGGGUUCAGAUAUAUGAUGUACCAUCCCACAAGACCAAUUCUGGGAUUUCUUACAUUUCGUAUUGGGUAUGGAUCGGGUUUUUUGGUUUAAGUUCGGUACGGACUUUGGGUUACGAAUAUUAUGCUUAGACCUAUUUUCAAUAAAGAAAAAUACGAUUAUAUAAAGUCUUUACCAAAAUAUUAUCCCGCGCUUUAGCGCGGAUCAAAAUCUAGUUUUAAUUAAUCUGUGGUUUCCAUUAUUUUCCUUCGAAAAUGUUUUAUUUAGAAAAUAAAACUCCUCCUCUCUCAGCUUUGCUUUAUGUCGAUUCAGUCCCACAGGUUUGGUUUACUAGACCGGUUGGAAUUUCUAGUUAGUUUUUAGUUGAUGUUGUCAAAAAAAAAAAAAAAAUCCUCCUCACUCAAGUUUCCAUCUUUUUUCUCUGAAUUUUAUUAAGGGACAGAAGCCCAAACGGACUAAAGCCCAACAACAGAAAAAAACAAAAGGUCUAAACAACAUGCCAAACUUUACAGAAACGAUUUUGGACCACCAGCCCAAAAAGGAAAACCCAUCGAGGAAGCAAGUCGUCUCUAUCCACCACGUGACCGAUUGCCCUGCAAUCUGAAUCCACUCGUCAAAAUAGGAGAUGACUUUUUUCCACCGGUGCCAAACUGGAAAUGCGACGGAACUCCGCCGACAGCAGAGGCUAACCGAAGAAGAAACCCGGUCAAGCCAAGCAAUCUUCAAAUCGAUCAAGCCGCUCACCGGAUCUACGCUUCUAAAGACAAUCUUCAUUGAUCCAUCUUACAACCUUCGAUCUUCUUGCAUAAAAAUCAGUCAUCUUUAUAGAUGUGAAAUAGCCCGAAGUUGAAAAAACCUUUAAGGGAAAGGAGGAAAAAAACAUCAAAGGUGAGGAAGAAGAGAGGAGGUGAGGCAACAGGAAACGUCAAUCGACUAAUCGAGAAAGUCUCGGUGAUAAGCUGCAGUCGCUUUCAAAGGAGCACGACGCGGAGGCAAAAGCCGAACAUCCCCGUCGAAGAGAGCGCGAACCGCCAGAGUCAGAAGCCGGCUAUACCCGUUGAGUAAACCGCAGUAUACCUGAGACAAAAGUCACCGAAAAAAAACGGCGACAUGAACAAGCUUCAUCUCAUCUUCUUCUUCAUGAAAGAUAUUGGAUUCAGAACCAAGAAGAGAGAGAGAAGCUUUAUCUAUUCCAUACCCCUAGACCAUGAUUAACCCCAGUCUCUUAACUGGAGUUAUUAGCUUCGGUUAAGAGACGGUUUUUAGUUUUUUUUAGAUUUUAACUAAGGAAAGUUAAGAACUAUCACUUAAAUAAGAUAUAUAACAACCGUCUCUUACCCGAAAAGUGUAAAAAUAAAUAAAAAAAUAAAAAAAAAUGUCAAAUCACGAGUUAAGAAUCCCGACUAAGAGAUCGGGGUUAAUCAUGCUCUUAAUCUCUUGUUCCGUACUCAAGUUUCCAUUUUAUCAUGCCUUGUUCAUUUGAUGAUGCUUUUGAUAAAUUUUUUAUUAUAUGUUUUUUUUUUUUGUAACUGAUUUUUUAUUAUAUGUUCUAUAUGGGCAUCAUAGUAAAGAGUUUCUGACCGAAUUGUUUCUGUAGUAAAGGCAAAUUCUGGUCGUAAAAAUUCAUAUUUCAAGAGUUUUCUUGGAGAAGAGGACUUAUUUCCAACAUAUUCUACACCUCUUUUCAUAUCUCAGGUUCCAAAAAAUUAAAAUUAAAACAAAAUUUCUAAAAUUGGUUAAAAGUCACAUAUACAAGAUAACAAUUUAAUAUGCCUCCAAGCUAGAUAUUUAUAUCAGAAACACAUUUAUGCAAUCCGAUUUCUUUCUUUUUUUGUUGAAAAAAAUCCUAUCUAUUGUCAUUAUAGUAUUUUAUAAGAAAAUACUAUUGCUGUAUAUUUUACAGAUUCUAUUUAAAAUUAAAAAGAUAAAUAUCUCCUCAAACUUUCUUUCCUCUUUGAAGGGGCAAAGUUGCCACUUGCAACAUUCGAUACAAUUCUGAAUUUCUGAUCCCUGAACUAAUUUUUGCAUGUUCUCUUCUGGCGUAAGUAUUAAAUUUAGAAUGUAGAAGAAUCAUAACGUAAUUUUAUCUGAAUAUAUAUGUAUGAAGCAUCUUGUUUUCUUAUCCGGGCCAAUGUAAAUUUAUAUAUCCUUGUUUUCGAGUGAAUGUGUCGGCUUCCGUUACUUAGAUGAAAGGGUUUUCACUUUUCAUUUUCCCGAUAAGGAAGAAGAAUAUACAGCCAAAUUAAUCAAAAUAAAGGAAAUUAGCUAUUUUGGAAGGACAAGUUGCAUUCUCUGUUAGUCCUACACGCAAUGCAUGCAAGUAUUGUCUUCCAACUUUCAAUACUAAUAUUCGUUAAUCAAAUGUGUUUAAGAUACUAAUUAACCGUAAAUAUUUACUAGUUUGAAUAAAUUUAUAAAAAUUGCAUGUCCGUUCUGGUUAUAUAUUGCUCUGUUUGAACUAUAUCAGUUCUUUUUAAAGUGGUUUUCUGAUUUAAGUCCAAAACAGUUAACCGGAUUCGAAUUAUACCCAUUAAUAUUAUUGCUAUACAAUACGUUUAAUCAGAGAAAAAUGACACUGUUGCAUUAUCUUUAAAAUUCAAUGACUGUAUAUAAACCCCUCGAGAUUGACACAGAAACACACAAAUACCUCUAAAAAGGUAACAUGUAAUAUCAUUACUUAUACUACAAAAAAAAAGAUGGAGGACAAAGGGAAAAACAUCGAACAAGCUCAACAAAGUUGUUACCUAGGGUGGAUGAGUUUACAAUCCCAACGCGUCCUUGACCUUAAACAAGCCUUAGCUCAACGACGAUCUCACGAAGGCACAGCCGACGCUGCCACGGAUGAGAAGAAACUCCGUGAAUUAACACAAAAGAUCAUUGGAGACUUCAAAGAUUACGCCCGAAAAAGAGCCGAUCUCUCACACCGAUGUAGCUCGAACUAUUAUGCGCCGUCGUGGAACACUCCUUUGGAGAACGCUCUGAUUUGGAUGGGUGGCUGCAGACCAUCUUCUUUCUUUAGGCUUGUUUAUGCUCUGUGUGGGUCCCAAACUGAGAUCCGUGUGACUCAGUUUCUCCGCAACGUCGAUGGUUACGAUACUUCAGGUAAUUUAAGGGUUUGGACAUUAUCAGUUAUUUGGGAUUUUACUUCUUUUCACUUCUUAGUUUGGUCAGCUCCGGUUCCAAACAUCCGAAUAAAACAUUCUUCUUUGUUCCAAAAUUUAAAGUUAUUAUACAUACAUUUUAUUGCUUUUAAAUUGUCAAUAUUUUAUCAAAAUUAAUUUAAAAAUGUUUAUGGUCUUUUAGAUCUGGCCGGUCCUGGAUUUAGUUUGGUUUCAGUUUAAAAUUUUGUUUUUUUGGUUUAAGAAUUUUUAGGUCUGAGUUUAGUUCAAUUCGGUUUGAUUCAACAGGUAGUGGUGGCGCAUCACUCAGCGAUCUAACGGCGGAGCAGCUGGCGAAGAUCAACGUCUUGCAUGUGAAGAUCAUAGACGAAGAAGAGAAGAUGACCAAGAAAGUCUCCAGUCUGCAAGAAGACGCCGCUGAUAUUCCUAUCUCCACCGUGGCUUACGCGGAGGAGCACGUAGGAGAGCCUAACUUGGCAGUAGAUCAAGCUCUCGACAAGCAAGAAGAAGCUAUGGCCACUUUAUUGGCCGAGGCCGAUAAUCUGAGGGUAUAUACGUUGAGUAAAAUCAUAGAGGUUCUGGCGCCGAUGCAAGCCGCGGAUUUUUUGCUAGCCGGGAUAAAACUUCAUCUUUCAAUGCAUUCUUGGGGAGCGCUAAGGGAUCGCCGCCGUCGUGAAUGUAUAAUAGAGGCCGCAGAUGAUGCCGGAGGGAAGGAAGGGAAGUAGUCGUUAUAAAAGUAGAGGUGAUAUAUACUAUAGGUACGUGUCAGCUAUGAAAUUGCAUAAUAACGAGAUUUAUAAUCUUGGUAUUAUAGCUUUAUGAUAUAGUUUAGGGAUAUAUAUGUCCUUAUAUAUGUCAAUUUUAUUUUCCGAGGACCAGUGUGUAAUGCGUUUCGAUUUAUUUUAUAAAUACAAAUAUAUUUUAUAGUUUAUGAUUUUGUUAUAACAUAGAUGUAUCUUGUUAGAUGAUUUUUUUUGUAACAGAUCUUGUUAGAUGAUUAUACUUAUAAAUAUAUUAUUAUCUAUAUAUAUAUAUAAACAUUGCUUUGUUACUAAACUGUUAUAGUUUUUUAAGAAUAAAUCAUAAGUACAUUUUGAUGGUUUAGAGUACUUUAAUAACUGGAAUCUUUGUUGAUAAAAAGAAAAUGGAAUCUUUUUUUUCUUUAUCGAGUCUAUCCACGCGGCUUUUUGCUCUUCAGAAAGACAGUAUGCUACUGGAUGCAUGUACAACUGUGAGUAAUGGGGGCACAGCGACGACAAAUAGUUAGAGAAAUGAUUUUGGUGUGUUUACGUGUCAGUAAACAUGCUCUUUCUCGACAAGUCAGCUUAGAGAUUUUGAUCCAAUACUCCAUUGGCUUUUUGUGUGUUAGGGAACAGGCAAAAGGAAAAUUGUUGGAGUAUCCAGUGUGACAUAAAUACACGUUGGGAAAAAUAGUGGAUAAUAUUUUUUUUGAGAGGUUAAAGAUGAAAUGUAGACAAUUUAUAUUUGUGAUAGUUUUUGUAUUUGGAAAAGAGAUUUUCUACUAAGGCUUGUGUUUGGAGAUUGUUUUAGAAAUUUUGUUAGAACUUUUUCUUGAAUGUUUUCUCUCAAUUACUUUUCUUGAUUCUUGGAUGAUACAAAUGGUGCUAAACACCCAUAUUUAUACAAAUGAAGGAGCAAACUCUAACAUGUUUUAGAUUUCUCUAAAUUAUUAUCUUAUUUCAAAAUAUCUAACAUAAUUAUUCUACUACAUAACUUUCUCUCUUCUCCUCCAUAAUUCUAGAUAAUUCUUCCUCCUUGUGUUUUUCUUUUGGACUCUUAAUAUGGAUCAUGAUUUUUGGGUUUUGGGCUAAUAGAUGAAAAAACCAACAAAUCUCCCCUUUUUCAACUUAGCCCGAAACCGUUGUCAUGUCAGUGCUUUUGCAGCAAUCUUCAAACUUCUUGAUCGGUAAUACCUUGGUCAUAAAGUCUGACCAAUUUUCGUCGGUGUGUACCUUUGUGAGAUGUAUGAGCUUCUCUUCCAGAACUUUUCGGAUCCAGUGAUGUCGGAUAUCGAUGUGCUUUGAGCGAGAGUGAAACGUUUGAUUCUUUGCUAAGUGAAUAGCAUUUUGGUUGUCACAUAGCAUGUUGUACUUUUCUUUCUUUACUCCCAACUCAAGCAAGAAGUUCUUCAUCCAUAGCAUCUCCUUACACGCUUUCGUUGCUUCGAUGUACUCCUCUUCCGUGAUGGAUAAAGCAACACACUUUUGUAGCUUCGAUUGCCAAGAAACAGCUCCCCCUGCAAAGGUAGUCACGAAUCCUGAUGUCGAUUUCCUUGAAUCUUUAUCACCAGCCCAAUCUGCAUCGGUGUAACCGUUCAACUCCAAUUUUCCAUUUCCAAAACAUAGACACUUCUUCGUUGUGCCUCGUAGAUAGCGUAAGAUCCACUUAACUGCUUUCCAAUGUUCUUUUCCUGGAUUGGCGAGAAAGCGACUCACAACUUCUACGGCAUACGCAAUGUCGGGUCUGGUGCACACCAUAGCAUACAUGAGACUACCCACUUCUGAUGCAUAUGGGGUAGUCUUCAUUUCCUCUUUUUCCUUCUUACUUGUUGGACUUUGCUUCGAACUUAGUUUGAAAUGUCCACCAAGUGGAGUGCUCACCUGCUUUGCUUUGUGCAUGUUGAAUCUCUCCAACACCCUUUCAACAUAUCGUUCUUGGGACAGCCAUAAAAGCUUCUUUGGUCUAUCCCGAGUGAUCUUCAUUCCAAGAAUCUGUCUCGCUUGCCCCAGAUCUUUCAUCGCAAAACACCUUCCCAAAUAUUUCUUCAAUGCGGCUAUCUUGUUGCGAUCUUGGCCCACAAUUAACAUAUCGUCAACAUAGAGCAAUAAUAUGAGAAAGUCGCCGCUUUCGUACCUCUUUAUGAAAACGCAAUGAUCAUUCUUAGUUUUCUUGAAGUUAUGAUCCACCAUGAAGGAGUCAAACUUCUUGUACCAUUGUCUUGGGGCUUGCUUGAGGCCAUAAAGACUCUUCUUUAAUCGGCACACCAAUUCUUCUUUUCCUGAAACCUUGAAUCGUUCAGGUUUCUCCAUAUAGAUCUCCUCCUCGAGUUCACCAUGUAGAAAGGCCGUCUUGACAUUGAGUUGUUCAAUCUCCAAGUCUAGAACCGCUGCUAGACCAAGAACCACUCGGAUAGAGGACAUCUUCACGACUGGAGAGAAUAUUUCUUCAAAAUCUAUGUCUUUUUUCUGGUUGAAUCCUUUCACAACCAAUCGAGCUUUCUAUCUUGGAUUUGAGCUUCUCUCUUCAUACUUCAACCUGUACACCCACUUGUUCUUCAAGGCUCUCUUUUCUUUUAGUAGCUUCAUCAGCUCAUAAGUGUGAUUAUCCUGCAAGGAUUACAUUUCAUCUUGCAUAGCUUCAACCCACUCAUCUCUAUGAGUGUCUCCUAUGGCCUCCUCAUAGCUUUUAGGUUCCCCCUCAUCUGUAAGAUUAACGUACUCAUCUCGAUAAUAUCUUACAGAUGAUCUUGUCUCUCUUCCAGACCUUCUUAGCUCAUGUUCUUCCUCUGGCUCCACUUGAACUUCUUCUUCACCUUCAUCACCAUUCGGAUCCAUGAUAGGAUCCCCUUUGCCAUCAUCUCCAAUCACUUGUUCAUGAUCUUGAGGCUUAUGAGAAUCUUCAUUUCUUACAACCCUUAGCUUUGGUUUCUUUGAUUUUGUUGAUGUCUUCUAUUGUUUGAUCUUCGAAGAAAACAACAUUUCUGCUCCGGAUAAUUUUUCUGUUAACCGGAUCCCAAAGCCGAUAGCCGAAAUCAUCUCUCGGUGACCCAAGAUAGAUGCACUCUUUAGUCUUGGAGUCUAGCUUGGCUCGUUCAUCCUUAGGUAUAUGGACAAACGCUCUGCAACCGAACACCUUCAAAUGGUUGUAAGAGACCUUCUUACCCGACCAAACUUCCUCCGGGACAUCGCCUUCCAAAGGAACUGAUGGUGUAAGAUUUAUGACGUCCACUGCAGUCUUUAUGGCUUCUCCCCAAAAUGGCUUGGGUAGUUUAGCGUGAGAGAGCAUGCACCGAACUCUUUCUAUGAUCGUUCGAUUCAUUCUUUCUGCUAGCCCGUUCAAUUGUUGCGUCUUUGGUGGUGUCUUCUCCAUUCUGAUUCCAUGAGCUUUGCAAAACGCUUCAAAGGGACCUCGAUACUCUCCACCAUUGUCAGAUCGAACACACUUGAGUUUUUGACCCGUACUUCACUCUGCUUGGGCUACAAAUUCCUUGAAAGCAUCAAGAACUUGAUUUUUGACUUCAAAAGGUAUACAUAUACCUUCCUUGAAUGGUCAUCAAUAAAGGUGAUGAAAUAUGAUGCCCCUCCAUUGGAUUUCUCGGACAUGGGGCAUACGUCAGUAUGCACAAGAUCAAGAAUAUGCUUUCUUCUCAUAGGCGUAGAUGAUAUUCGGAAAGCGACCCUAUGUUAUUUUCCGGCUAAGCAAUCAUGACAUGAUGAGAGAGAAAUACCUUUCAUAUCAGGAAGAAGUUUCUUGCGAGAAAAUAUAUUUAAACCUUUCUCACUCAUAUGCCCGAGUCUUCGGUGCCAUAUAUCGAUGUCAUCACUUGUGACAUUUACUUCUUCCUUGCAAAGCUUGGCUUGAGUCACGUAUAAUGAGCCUUCUUUUCUUUCUCGAGCCAUGAUCAAACUUCCUUUGGUUAACUUCCAUUUGCCACCACCAAAAUGACUGUCCAAGCCGGCAUCAUCGAGCUUUCCGGUUGAUAUGAGAUUGAGACGCAUGUCGGGAACAUGUCUCACAUCCUUGAGAACUAUCUUACAUCCAGUGUUUGAUGUAAGAAUAACAUCCCCCUUUCCAACAAUCUUGCUUCUUCCUUGAUUUCCCAUUUGAACAUUACCAAAGUCACCAUUUUGGUAGGUUGUGAAAAAGCUUCCAUGAGGGGUGACAUGAAAAGACGCACCAGAAUCAACUAUCCAUGAGCUAUCAUCAGAGCUAAGAUUACUUUCUCCAACGAGGUAUAACUCUUCGCUCUGGUCUUCCACAAUGGUGGUAGUCUUGUCUUCAUGCUUCUUUGUAGGAUUGAGCCGGUCUGGUUUGAUAUUACCGGCUUGUUUGUCUUUCUUGAAAAACCAACAUUCCGACUUCAUGUGACCCGGCUUGCCACAGUAAUAGCAGGUGACUCUCGGACGUGACUUAGAUCUUCUUCGAGAUUGGUCUCGUCCUCUGCUUAUGUUGUGACCACGAGUCUCUUCUCUACCUCAUCUAUCAACAAUGUUAGCUUCUGAAUAAGAAUUCGAACCUCGCUCCUUCCUGCGAACUUCUUCGUUUAGAAGGCUAUCAGUGACGGUGUCCAUGGUGAGCUUUCCCUCCGGUCCUGAAUUGCUUAGAGUGACAACUAGUGUGUCCCAACUCUCCGGUAGUGAACUAAGGAGUAAAAGGGCUUGUAUUUCGUAUUCAACCAUCAUAUCAACUUUGUUAAGCUGAUUUACGAUCCCCUUGAAAGUGUUCAAGUACUCCAUCAUGCUCUGGCCAUCCUUGUACUCCAACUUUACCAACCGUCGAAUAAGAAGAGCUUUGUUUCGAGGUGUUUUCUU